UGCAAGCACGUACGCUCGAGGACACAUGAGGGACAGAAUCAACCGGGGAGUCCAAAUGAAAAAUAUAAGUAGUUCGAUCUGCAUAUACUGCCAUUAUACCCGACCAUACUAUUAUAAUACCAAUCCAGGCCUACCACGAACCAUCACUGGUUCACUUCACUGCCACUACCACUAUUGUUAUUAUCGAUCCCGGCACUAACACAGGACGCAACGACAGCAAGAACCUAAGAACAACACAGCAACAAUGCCUCAACUGAAUCAACAUACUGCCACUGUCUUCAGGUUCGGAUCAGGAUCCGUGGCGGUGGCAUGGUCUAGCGGCGGUGGGGGCAGAAGGUGACGACGUAGGAGGUGCCGGCGGCGCAGGUGAGGAUGGAGGUCUUGUCAUCAUACGCGUAGGAGUAGGCCUUGGGGCAGGCCCGCUUGAACAGCCGCGAGUAGGUCGUCGGCUUGCACUGCUGCGGCCCGCCGAACUGCCCCGUGCAGCAGUACUCGGCGCUCCCGAAGGCGGCGCAUGCGCUGCGGCAGCCCACGACCCUGUUGCCGCCGCGGACCGCGAGCCCGGCGGGGCAGACGCUGUUGAGGUCGCUGACGCAGCCGGCGGGGAGGCAGUUGGCGCCGGACCCGUGGUAGGGCCGCAUGUCGAUGGCCACGUUGUAGCCGUCCACCAGGCUCACGUCGUAGAAGUCGAGCGCCGCGGCGGACGCGCCCAGCGUGAUCUCGGCCAGCGUGGCCGGGGGCUCGCCGCCGGCGCCGUUGCAGUAGAGGGCGCCGCCGCAGUCGCCCGUGGCGCACUUGCCGCGCCCCGCCGCGUCGAAGCGGCAGCCCUGCCGGCCCCACACGCGGCCCGACCAGCCGGCGGGGAGGCGGAUGGAGGUGGCGCGGUUGGGGAGCAGCUGCAGCCCGCCGCGGGCCAGGAUCUCCUUGCCGGCCCCCGGCUGGAUGCCCGGCCACACCGUCUCGCCGCACUUGUUGUACAGCGCCAGCGUCGCCGCCGACGCGCCGCCCGCGAGCAGAAGGAGGAGCGACGCCGCGGCCACGAGGCCGGUGGUCACCGUUGCCAUCUCCUGUGUGCGCUUCUUGGCUGCUUGCUCGCGCACACUCGCUGCGGUGGACUGGAGUGGAGUGGACAGUGGAGUGAGCUUGCGCAGAGGCUUGGAGUGAUUUUGUGGGGUUCGUGGGUGGUGUAUUUAAUGAGGGUUUUGGGGGGUGAAAAAGUUGGAUGGAGGGUGGGUUUUGGCUCCGAGUGAAAGGCUGGCUGUAAAAGUCUGGGAUCGGUCAUCGAUCAACCAACCAUCAUCAGCGGCACUUUUGCCAUGUGAGGUGGUACAGAGCGAGAUGGAGUGCUACAAAAAUGCACUGCCCGUGAAAACGAGAAAAUCCACUGCGAAUGGGAAAUCCACCAUGAACGAGAGUGCGAGAGAACCUUCACCCUCACCGAUAUUUUGGGACGGGCGGUUCGCGGCGUUGCGCACAAGUGGAAAGAUAGGAUGGGCGGUUCACGCCGUUGCACACAAAAAUGGGAAGGUGAUGGUGAUGCGGUGACGCGAUCGGCUGUAGCUUGCGUGCUGACAAAAACCAUGUUUAAUUCGCAAAAAAGAAGAAAAAAAAAGACAAAAACCAUGUUUAGACACGUUGUUGUUUUGAAUGCAUGCGCCACCAUGCGCGUGAGCGUGCAUGCGAAUGCGAGUUUGAGUGUUGUUGUCGCGGCCCAGUGUAGGAUUGAUUGCUCCUGGACCGAUCUGCUCGACUCCACUCUCCUGCGUACGAAGGGAGUGAGUAGCACUCUGGUCUGCUGCGGCCAUGUGGCCAGCCCGGCCAGCUUGUGUCGCACCUUCACUCCACUGGUCCCAAAAACUCCUCUCCUUCACGGAUCGGCGCAUGCGAGCGAGCUGGCAAGUCAAUUCAACCUACUCUUACUCGGACCAACGUCAAACAGGAACAGAAUGCCCUUACUCGCUCUGUUUAUUUUUACUCCGCAUAUAAGAUUUGGUCAAAGUCAAACUACAUAAAGUUUGACCAAAUUUAUAUAAAAAAUUAUAAACAUCUACAAUACUAAAACUAUAUAGUAUGAAAAUACGUUUCAUGGUUGAUCUGAUAAUACCGAUUUCAUAUUGUGAAUUUUUAUAUUUUUUAAUAUAAAGUUAGUCAAACUCUAUAAAGCUUGACUUUGACCAAACCUUAUAUGCGGACUAAAAAAAAGUAUUUGACUGAUGUACUUCUACAUGGCUAGGAGCUGUGUUUAAAUAAAAAAAUCCUCUCUCAACCCCUCGUGAGAUCUGGGUCUCGUAGUGCACCGAGCUGGUGAGAAGGGAGCCAGAGAGAGAGCGCGGCAUGUGAAUACGGUGUUGGGCGAACGGCCGUCCUGAGGAAAGCAGGUGGGCGGGGAGCGCCGCAGAGAUUCGCUGGGCUCCGGCUGGGCAGCAGCGUGGACGUGGUGGUCGUAUGCAGGCAUGUCUCGCCCCGCGUGCAAGUGUCAGAAGUUUUUUUUUGGAAAGGGUGUCAGAAGUUUUUUUUUUGAAAGGGUGUCAGAAGUUAGUUCAUCGGGGGCAGAAAGAGAUGUCUGCCGGUGCACGCGAGGGGCGCCGUGUCGGUGGGAUGCGCAUCCUGGUCCUGGGCUCUCUUCUCGCUUCGCUCCGCGGGGCGGACGUACGGGCGCGCCUGAGCCUGACUUCGGCGCGAUGGUAGCCCACCGACGCCGUUGGACACGCCCGGCGCGAUCGUAUUCGGCAGCCCCGGCCGCGCGAAACGGCCACUGUCACGUGCUACCGCGGGAGGGGAGCUGAGCGGAGUGACGGCCGGCCGGCGGGCGGGCGUCCCAGGCCAACUCCAACGCAUGCCCCAUUGGGACGUCCAUUUUAUCCGGAUUUCAUUCGUUUAAGAGUGGUGAUGAGGUCAUGUCAGCACACGACCAUAUUUCAGCCGCAUCUCGUCCGCAUACUUUUUUAUAACACAUAUAUCUUUAUUUUCAUCAUUGAGUUUCGAUACAUUGGAGCACAUCAUCAAAUUUUGACUAGAAUAGCAAGAUAAAAAAAAAACAAGAACCACAAGAAGAUAUCCAGCUUUCAUAACUGCUCUCGUAAGUUGGAUUAGUGUCUUCUCGAUGCAUUUAUUGUUGAUCUGCGGAGUCUCGAUCUUACGUGCUUCUUUCUUCUUCAAGUCUAAAGAAGUAGACAUUGCUUCUUCGCAUUUAGUCUCAUCGAGCGAAAGUGAUGUUUUGAGCUCGAGCCCAGAUGCUCUCAUUAUCCCCAUCGUCAAGUCCCUCCAAGAUUCCCAAUCUGGGAUGUAUAGCAUGAAGUAUUCCUUUUGUAUUACACCAGUUCUCUGUCCCCUUGGCCAACGUCUUUUCAAAUAAUAAAUGUGACGCCGUCCAGACCGUGUCGACCGGCUCGGAUGUGCAUUACGAUAUGAGCCUUCUCUGUCGAGAUUCUGUACCAACGGGCUGACUAGUUGCAGCCAUGCCCGUCCGCUCGUGGUUAUGUAUGGGUCUUGCUCGAUUCUGCUGCCUAUGUAUUUCAAAAUUUGAACUGAUACGAAUCUCCUUCACAAAUUAGCAGACAUGGGGCAACACAUGUCCAUAGGGCCGUCAUUAAUGCAUAACGCAUGCAUUAACCUUAUUCAGGAGUUGUGCGUUUCUACAAAUUCAGAUAGCUCAGUUCAGCUAAUGACGAGAUGGAACUGCAAUCCAACAUGCAGCACCACCACCACACUGUUGCAUAUAAAUCACGCCCACACCAGCGAGUUGAACUUGUACAUAAUCACACGUCGACAUCUUAGAAGUCUGGAAAAACUAUUGUGCUUACUCGUCCCCAUGGAUUCAUAGCCAACAUGUUCUUCCUAAACAUGUUUUGUGAUUACUUUCUUCCCCUGCACACAUCAUAACUAACAAGUCUGGACACGUACCAGAAAAUGGAGAUGAUACGUGCCACCAUAUCUCAUUGCCCAUGUGCCAUACAUUCAGCCCUCGUUGUAAAUGAUCAUGUGUCACACAUGUUCAUCCAAUGGUUGUCAACUCACCAUCCGGGCCAAACUCAGCAAAACCUUCUCCUGUAAGGAGAUCCAGUGUUGGCACCAUAUGAUUGAAACAUUUACAGUAGAGGGACGUCCAAUUCACAUCACCGUUCAUGCGCCAUCCAACAUCAGCAAGGUGGAAACAAAUAUGAGUAACAACAAUGCGUGCUGUGCGGCCAAAAAACAACACGCUCGCUGGCCGUCGCCAUUGCUCGCCCUCGUUGCUGGGAGGAUGACUGCCACUUCCAUGGCUGCCCCGAAGAUAGAGGGUGACUGCCGCUACCACGCCCGCACCAUCGUAAGAGAGAGGGCGACCACUGCCAUGGCUGCACCAUGCCGCAAGGUUGCGUCGCUAUCGCGAAAGGCACCAAGCAAGUGCCACGUCGCUGACCCCGCACCAUCGCAAGAGGACGGUCGCGGCUGCCACGCAUGCAGCACUUCGUCGAGGACACGCUGCCAUGGGAGACGCCAAGCUAGCCUGAAAACUGAGAGCAAAUUGUUAACUGGUUUACAUGCAAAGCAGCGGAGUUUCAGGUUGUAAACUGACUUACAGGAAACAACAGGAGAGUUUCAGAUUGUAAACUAAUUUCAGAGCAGAUCAUUGGCACUAUAUAUUUUUGGGCAUAUCAAUGAUGGUGUAAAUUGAGAGUAGGUCAUUGACAUUGUCAACUUGGGAGCAUAUCACUUGAUGUUGUAAAACUGAUAACAGAAUUGAGGAUGGAAAAUAGGGAUUGAGAUCACUUGGUGGUGGUUUUUGUGAAUGAAUGCUAUAACUGAAUGGGCUGAAUUUUGGAGACUUUGGUCACUGAAUUGAACAUCACUGUGAGAUGCAAGUGGCAAAAGGGAACUGAAUUGAGCUGCAACAUAAUUGUACAUUACAGAAUGGCAAAAUGAACAUAACAACAUUGAGCAUCACACACAAGAGCAUAACAGCUCAUCCUCAAGCAGCCCGGCAAUCGAUUACUUUGUUCAUACGUGCGCUGCCUCGCCGCCUUUCCUACUUCACCUUUGUCGGACUGGGCCGCAUCACCCUUCUGGGCCGAUGACGCUGUGUGUCCAUGGGCAUUGCUUGCUGCCACCGGAUGGCGCAUGCCGGUGAUAUAAAUUUGAUGUCCCAUAGUCGUUUCAGCUAAGUCAGAGGAUCUGAAAAUUUGUCCCCAUCAUCGGCACAAUUACAUUCUCUGUGGAAUUGUCCGCGAAUUCCUUUAUUGCUUUCUCUAAAGUGGUCACCCUAUUUGGACAAAGUGUACCGGUGCCGUUGAGCCGGCCCGUACUCUGCCCAAAUAUGUCUAAAUAGAAGUCCACAUACCAUUCGACAGUGACAUCACUAGACUGUAAAUUAUUCAAUGCCAGAAUAGCAAUACAGACUAAUAUCCACCAAAUUACUGCCCACAACUGAAACCCACAUAUCAAGUUUUACUGAAGUGGCGUUUCCAACAGUUGCGCAAGUGGAAGGAAAAAAAUUACUUUUCUAACACAAGUCACCCAUGGAGCUCCCAAAUCUAUAUGCAGGCCGCUAGUAGACUAACUGUGAACACCACAUACUUCCAUGUCAAUGACGCACACCAAGCAAGUGGAAAUCAAUAGGAUUUUUUCAGUUAUGCACUAACCUCUUAGUCCACCCCGGGCUUGCUGGUCGACUGCGCGGACACCGGGUGUGAGUUAUUCCUUCCUCCAACCACGGCUUCUUCAUCCCAGAUCUGCGCGCCUACACUCAAGACUGGCGCCGGCGCUUGUUCCAGCUUCCCCACCAAAGCAGCCACCGUGGAAGGUGGCAGAUCCAUGGGGGGCUUCAUUGUCCUCCACCUCUUAAAGCACAGGGGAUCUGGUACGGAUACACAACAGAUAGCAUAUUUAGCAGACAUCCUACUCCAAAUUAGUUAAGCCAAACCAAAGAUUCCAUCGCUUAGCCGCUUAUAGUCUGCAUCAAGAAAUCCAUCCCUGGCGCCGUCUCCUACCCCGGAUUCGCCUCUACAAGUUUCAGAGAGGAAACGAACCUACAAUAACUCUAUCCGGCCGCACUAACAGAAAAGCCAUGUUCCUGUUCCACGGAUCAUAACUGGCGAAACGUCGUGACCCACGGCUCAUCGGCAAAGCCUCUAACGGAAGUCGUUUUCCUGGCCCACAUCACAGGACCUGGCAAUACGUACAGCAGGCAAAAGCAAAUUAACGCACCCUCCGUAUAUCUCCAGAAAAGUAACUGGAACAAAUCCCGAGACCUUAUUGAUCCCAAUACCAAAAAUUGCAUCCUCCGACACAAUAAAAUAUUUGAGUGUAAGCAAAACGAGUUGAAUCCGAAGCUAAACUAGCACAUGCUCCAUCGUUUGCGCACUUGACGAACACCAUCCAAGAUGUUUCAGUGUUGUACACACGGGGUGCAAGACCUUACGUGGACAGUCGUCGCACUUUAUGAGCGCCAACGGUGCGCCGACGAGUCUUUAGGCCAGCACGGAGCCCGGACGAUGAUCGUUUGUGUAUUUGCCGGCGAACCGGCGACGGGGUCGAUCCGAGCGCCUAGAGGCGGAGUUAGUACCUGCAUGCGGCCUGCGGGCGUUGUCGGGGCUUUGCGGUCCGGUACCCGGCCAGUCCAUGGCAGGGCGUGGCCUCCGAGAGCCGGGGUGAGCUCAGAUCCGGCUGGAUCCGCUCCAAAUCCGGUCGCCGGAUGCGCUAAAUUCAGGCGGCCGGGAUUGGACAGCUCCGGGUGUCGAGGAAACGGGGGCUAUGAAAGAGGAGGGGACGGGCUUCGUGGCCAUGCUGGACAACGCACGACCGAGGAAAAAUGGUGACGAUGGCGACAGGUAUGGUGGGGCGAUGGGUGGGUGGAGGUGCGGCUGGAGUGGGGGGAGGUGAAUAGAAAAAAGGGGCGCAUGUGUCCCCGACGGGCGGGCCAGGGGAGGACAUGGGCACGCGCCACGCUCCGUCCGUGCGUGUCCGUUUGACCGCAAACGCGGCCCAAUUUUGGGCCGGGGAUAGGUCGAAAGCAAACAAAAACGGAUGACGGUCCAUUGCUUCUGCACAUUGGACGGUCUGUCUGUCCAUUUAUCUUCAAACGGAUGCGGGCAGGCCAUUUGAGGGCGUGCGUUGGAGUUGGCCUUAUGUCUCGAUCGCAUCGUUGCACCGGGAGAAUAUCAAUGAUACCACCCCUUAGGAUACCAUUUCAAAAAAUUCAAUUUAUAUGUUUCAACAUAUUCUGGAAAAAAUUAUGGAUGUUCACAUCACAUGGAUGUACAAUUUCUAAGAAAUUCUGGUCUAAAUUCUAAAUACACAUUGAGAAACGAAAAAGAAAAAUCCAGCAUAAAAUAGUGUUAAAAAGACAAAAGUCAAAAUGACACUAUUUAUAUCCGAAUUUGUCUUUUUUGUUUCUCAAUGUGUAUUUAGAAUUUGAACCUGGAAUUUUUAAGGGUUGUAUAUUCAUGCAAGGUGAACAUCCACAAUUUUUCCAAAAUUUUUUGAAAUGUUAUCGUGGGAGCAUUUGGGAGAUGGCAUCACCUAAGAGCGUCUAUAGCCGGGUCUCUCAUACCCGUCUCAAACGCCCGGGCAGGUCGCCCGGUCACUGCCCGGUCAGAAAAAUUCAACCCAACCGGACCUCUCAAACAGGCCUCAAACGCUCAGGCUGACCGGCACCCUCAUAUCCAGCCCAAAAAUAGGACGAAUAUGGGGCGGCCCAGGCACGCCCGGCACGUCCGCCUGACAGGCCCGGCCCACCACGGACCCCACAAAAAAACCCAAUCAGGGCGGCGAGCUCAAACCCUAGCUCACUCUCUCCCUCUCUCGCUUCGUCCGUCCACUCCUCUCUCUCUCUCUCUCCCGUUCCGAUCCCAUCCACCACCAUGAGCUGCUCCAGCAGCGACUCCGGCUCGGAACUCGAUUACGAGGAGGAGAUGGCCCUCUGCAUUGCGCCGGAGCAGUCCAAGGUCGAGACCGGCGGCAGCUCCGGAUCUGGAGCGUCGCCGCUGUUGGGGAACAUAGCAUGCAAUUUCAAAAAAAAUCCUACGAUCACGCAAGAUCUAUCUAGGAGAUGCAUAGCAACGAGAGGGGGAGUGUGUCCAAGUACCCUCGUAGACCGAAAGCGAAAGCGUUAGGUUAACGCAGUUGAUGUAGUCGAACGUCUUCGCGAUCCAACCGAUCAAGUACCGAAUGUACGGCACCUCCGAGUUCUGCACAUGUUCAGCUCGAUGACGUCCCUCGAGCUCUUGAUCCAGUUGAGGACGAGGGAGAGUUCCAUCAGCACGACGGUGUGGCGACGGUGAUGAUAAAGUUACCGGCGCAGGGCUUUGUUGGGAAUCGUAGCAUAAUUUUAAAAUUUUCCUACGCUCACCAAGAUGCAUCUAUGGAUCAUACUAGCAACGAGGGGAAAGGAGUGCAUCUACAUACCCUUGUAGAUCGCGAGCGGAAGCGUUCCAAUGAACGUGGAUGACGGAGUCGUACUCGCCGUGAUCCAAAUCACCGAUGACCGAGUGCCGAACGGACGGCACCUCCGCGUUCAACACACAUACGGUGCAGCGACGUCUCCUCCUUCUUGAUCCAGCAAGGGGGAAGGAGAGGUUGAUGGAGAUCCAGCAGCACGACGGCGUGGUGGUGGAUGUAGCGGGUCUCGGCAGGGCUUCGCCGAGCUUCUGCGAGACGGAGAGGUGUAGCAGGGGAGGAGGGAGGCGCCCAAGGCUGUGUUAUUGCUGCCCUCCCUCCCCCCCUUUAUAUAGGCCCCCUUGGGAGGGGGGGCGCCGGCCAAACCCAUCUAGGGUGAGGGGCGGCGGCCAAGGGGGGUGCCUUGCCCCCCAAGGCAAGUGGGAAGCCCCCCACCCUAGGGUUCCCAACCCUAGGCGCAUGGGGGGAGGCCCAUGGGGGGCGCCCAGCCCACUAGGGACUGGUUCCCUUCCCACUUCAGCCCACGGGGCCCUCCGGGAUAGGUGGCCCCACCCGGUGGACCCCCGGGACCCUUCCCGUGGUCCCGGUACAAUACCGGUAACCCCCGAAACUUUCCCGGUGGCCGAAACUUGACUUCCUAUAUAUAAUUCUUCACCUCCGGACCAUUUCGGAACCUCUCGUGACGUCCGGGAUCUCAUCCGGGACUCCGAACAACUUUCGGGUUUCCGCAUACACAUAUCUCUACAACCCUAGCGUCACUGAACCUUAAGUGUGUAGACCCUACGGGUUCGGGAGACAUGCAGACAUGACCGAGACGCCUCUCCGGUCAAUAACCAACAACGGGAUCUGGAUACCCAUGUUGGCUCCCACAUGUUCCACGAUGAUCUCAUCGGAAAAACCACGGUGUCGAGUAUUCAAUCAAUCCCGUAUACAAUUCCCUUUGUCAAUCGGUAUGUUACUUGCCCGAGAUUCGAUCGUCGGUAUCCCAAUACCUUGUUCAAUCUCGUUACCGGCAAGUCUCUUUACUCGUACCGCAAUGCAUGAUCCCGUGACUAACGCCUUAGUCACAUAGAGCUCAUUAUGAUGAUGCAUUACCGAGUGGGCCCAGAGAUACCUCUCCGUCACACGGAGUGACAAAUCCCAGUCUCGAUCCGUGCCAACCCAACAGACACUUUCGGAGAUACCCGUAGUGCACCUUUAUAGUCACCCAGUUACGUUGUGACGUUUGGCACACCCAAAGCAUUCCUACGGUAUCCGGGAGUUGCACGAUCUCAUGGUCUAAGGAAAAGAUACUUGACAUUGGAAAAGCUCUAGCAAACGUUACUACACGAUCUUUUAUGCUAUGCUUAGGAUUGGGUCUUGUCCAUCACAUCAUUCUCCUAAUGAUGUGAUCCCGUUAUCAAUGACAUCCAAUGUCCAUAGUCAGGAAACCAUGACUAUCUGUUGAUCAACGAGCUAGUCAACUAGAGGCUUACUAGGGACACGUUGUGGUCUAUGCAUUCACACAUGUAAUAUGAUUUCCGGACAAUACAAUUGUAGCAUGAACAAUAGACGAUUACCAUGAACAAAGAAAUAUAAUAAUAACCAUUUAUUAUUGCCUCUAGGGCAUAUUUCCAACAGUCUCCCACUUGCACUAGAGUCAAUAAUCUAGUUACAUUGUGAUGAAUCGAACACCCAUUGCGUCCUGGUGUUGAUCAUGUUUUGCUCUAGGGAGAGGUUUAGUCAACGGAUCUGCUACAUUCAGGUCCGUAUGUACUUUACAAAUAUCUAUGUCUCCAUUUUGAACACUUUCACGAAUGGAGUUGAAGCGACGCUUGAUAUGCCUGGUCUUCCUGUGAAACCUGGGCUCCUUCGCAAGGGCAAUAGCUCCAGUGUUGUCACAGAAGAGAGUCAUCGGGCCCGACGCAUUGGGAAUCACCCCUAGGUCGGUAAUGAACUCCUUCAUCCAGACUGCUUCCUGUGCUGCCUCCGAGGCUGCCAUGUACUCCGCUUCACAUGUAGAUCCCGCCAUGACGCUUUGCUUGCAACUGCACCAGCUUACUGCUCCUCCAUUCAAAAUAUACACGUAUCCGGUUUGUGACUUCGAGUCAUCCAGAUCUGUGUCGAAGCUAGCGUAGACGUAACCCUUUACGACGAGCUCUUCGUCACCUCCAUAAACGAGAAACAUAUCCUUAGUCCUCUUCAGGUACUUCAGGAUAUUCUUGACCGCUGUCCAGUGUUCCAUGCCGGGAUUACUUUGGUACCUUCCUACCAAACUUACGGCAAGGUUUACAUCAGGUCUGGUACACAACAUGGCAUACAUAAUAGACCCUAUGGCCGAGGCAUAGGGGAUGACACUCAUCUUUUCUCUAUCUUCUGCCGUGGUCGGGCAUUGAGCCGUGCUCAAUUGCACACCUUGCAAUACAGGCAAGAACCCCUUCUUGGACUGAUCCAUAUUGAACUUCUUCAAUAUCUUGUCAAGGUAUGUACUCUGUGAAAGACCAAUGAGGCGUCUCGAUCUAUCUCUAUAGAUCUUGAUGCCUAAUAUAUAAGCAGCUUCUCCAAGGUCCUUCAUUGAAAAACACUUAUUCAAAUAGGCCUUUAUACUCUCCAAGAAUUCUAUAUCAUUUCCCAUCAACAGUAUGUCAUCCACAUAUAAUAUGAGAAAUGCUACAGAGCUCCCACUCACUUUCUUGUAAACACAGGCUUCUCCAUAAGUCUGUGUAAACCCAAACGCUUUGAUCAUCUCAUCAAAGCGAAUGUUCCAACUCCGAGAUGCUUGCACCAGCCCAUAGAUUGAGCGCUGGAGCUUGCAUACUUUGUUAGCAUUCUUAGGAUCGACAAAACCUUCCGGCUGCAUCAUAUACAACUCUUCCUUAAGGAAGCCAUUAAGGAAUGCCGUUUUGACGUCCAUCUGCCAUAUCUCAUAAUCAUAGUAUGCGGCAAUUGCUAACAUGAUUCGGACAGACUUCAGCUUCGCUACGGGUGAGAAAGUCUUAUCGUAGUCAACCCCUUGAACUUGUCGAUAACCCUUAGCGUCAAGUCGAGCUUUGUAGAUGGUCACCUUACCAUCCGCGUCCGUCUUCUUCUUAAAGAUCCAUUUAUUUUCUAUGGCUCGCCGAUCAUCGGGCAAGUCAGUCAAAGUCCAUACUUCGUUUUUAUACGUGGAUCCUAUCUCGGAUUUCAUGGCUUCUAGCCAUUUGUCAGAAUCCGGGCCCGCCAUCGCUUCUUCAUAGUUCGAAGGUUCACCGUUGUCUAACAACAUGAUUUCCAGGACAGGAUUGCCGUACCACUCUGGUGCGGAACGUGUCCUUGUGGACCUACGAAGUUCAGUAAUAACUUGAUUCGAAGCUUCAUGAUCAUCAUCAUUAACUUCCUCCCCAGUCGGUGUAGGCACCACAGGAACAUUUUCCCGCGCUGCGCUACUUUCCGGUUCGGAAGGGGUGACUAUCACCUCAUCAAGUUCCACUUUCCUCCCACUCAAUUCUUUCGAGAGAAACUCCUUCUCUAGAAAGGACCCGUUCUUGGCAACGAAGAUCUUGCCUUCGGAUCUGAGGUAGAAGGUAUACCCAAUAGUUUCCUUAGGGUAUCCUAUGAAGACGCAAUUUUCCGACUUGGGUUCGAGCUUUUCAGGUUGAAGUUUCUUGACAUAAGCAUCGCAUCCCCAAACUUUUAGAAACGACAGCUUAGGUUUCUUCCCAAACCAUAAUUCAUACGGUGUCGUCUCAACGGAUUUCGACGGAGCCCUAUUUAAAGUGAAUGCGGCAGUCUCUAAAGCAUAGCCCCAAAAUGAGAGCGGUAAAUCGGUAAGAGACAUCAUAGAUCGCACCAUAUCCAAUAGAGUGCGAUUACGACGUUCGGACACACCAUUUCUUUGAGGUGUUCCAGGCGGCGUGAGUUGUGAAACUAUUCCACAUUUCCUUAAGUGUGUACCAAAUUCGUGACUUAAAUAUUCUCCACCACGAUCUGAUCGUAAGAAUUUUAUUUUCCUGUCACGUUGAUUCUCAACUUCACUCUGAAAUUCCUUGAACUUUUCAAAGGUUUCAGACUUGUGUUUCAUUAGGUAGACAUACCCAUAUCUACUUAAAUCAUCAGUGAGAGUGAGAACAUAACGAUAUCCUCCGCAAGCCUCAACACUCAUUGGACCACACACAUCGGUAUGUAUGAUUUCCAAUAAGUUGGUUGCUCGCUCCAUUGUUCCGGAGAACGGAGUCUUGGUCAUCUUACCCAUGAGGCAUGGUUCGCACGUGUCAAAUGAUUCGUAAUCAAGAGACUCCAAAAUUCCAUCUGCAUGGAGCUUCUUCAUGCGCUUGACACCAAUGUGACCAAGGCGGCAGUGCCACAAGUAUGUAGGACUAUCGUUAUCAACUUUACAUCUUUUGGUAUUCACACUAUGAACAUGUGUAACAUCACGUUCGAGAUUCAUCAAAAAUAAACCAUUGACCAGCGGGGCAUGACCAUAAAACAUAUCUCUCAAAUAAAUAGAACAACCAUUAUUCUCGGAUUUAAAUGAGUAGCCAUCUCGAAUUAAACGAGAUCCAGAUACAAUGUUCAUGCUCAAAGCUGGCACUAAAUAACAAUUAUUGAGGUUUAAAACUAAUCCCGUGGGUAGAUGCAGAGGUAGCGUGCCGACGGCGAUCACAUCGACCUUGGAACCAUUCCCGACGCGCAUCGUCACCUCGUCCUUCGCCAGUCUCCGUUUAUUCCGUAGUUCCUGUUUUGAGUACAAAUAUGAGCAACCGCACCGGUAUCAAAUACCCAGGAGCUACUACGAGUACUGGUAAGGUACACAUCAAUUACAUGUAUAUCACAUAUACCUUUGGUGUUGCCGGCCUUCUUCUUGUCCGCUAAGUAUUUGGGGUAGUUCCGCUUCCAGUGACCACUUCCCUUGCAAUAAAAGCACUCAGUCUCGGGCUUGGGUCCAUUCUUUGACUUCUUCCCAGUAACUGGUUUACCGGGCGCGGCAACUCCCUUGCCGUCCUUCUUGAAGUUCUUCUUACCCUUGCCCUUCUUGAACUUAGUGGUUUUAUUCACCAUCAACACUUGAUGUUCCUUUCUGAUCUCUACCUCAGCUGAUUUCAGCAUUGAAUAUACCUCAGGAAUGGUCUUUUCCAUCCCCUGCAUAUUGUAGUUCAUCACAAAGGUCUUGAAGCUUGGUGGAAGCGACUGAAGGAUUCUGUCAAUGACCGCGUCAUCCGGGAGAUUAACUCCCAGCCGAGUCAAGCGGUUGUGCAACCCAGACAUUCUGAGUAUGUGCUCACUUACAGAACUAUUUUCCUCCAUUUUACAGCUGAAGAACUUGUCGGAGACAUCAUAUCUCUCGACCCGGGCAUGAGCUUGGAAAACCAGUUUCAGCUCCUCGAACAUCUCAUAUGCUCCAUGUUUCUCAAAACGCUUUUGGAGACCCGGUUCUAAGCUGUAAAGCAUGCCGCACUGAACGAGGGAGUAAUCAUCAGCACGCUGCUGCCAAGCGUUCAUAACGUCUUGGUUCUGUGGGAUUGGUGCAUCACCUAGCGGUGCUUCUAAGACAUAAUCUUUCUUGGCUACUAUGAGGAUGAUCCUCAGGUUCCGGACCCAGUCCGUAUAGUUGCUGCCAUCAUCUUUCAGCUUGGUUUUCUCCAGGAACGCGUUGAAAUUGAGGACAACGUUGGCCAUUUGAUCUACAAGACAUAGUGUAAAGAUUUUAGACUAAGUUCAUGAUAAUUAAGUUCAUCUAAUCAAAUUAUUUAAUGAACUCCCACUCAGAUAGACAUCCCUCUAGUCAUCUAAGUGAUACAUGAUCCGAAUUUAACUAGGCCGUGUCCGAUCAUCACGUGAGACGGACUAGUCAAGAUCGGUGAACAUCUCCAUGUUGAUCGUAUCUUCUAUACGACUCAUGCUCGACCUUUCGGUCCUCCGUGUUCCGAGGCCAUGUCUGUACAUGCUAGGCUCAUCAAGUCAACCUAAGUGUAUUGCGUGUGUUCCGAGGCCAUGUUUGUACAUGCUAGGCUCGUCAACACCCGUUGUAUUCGAACGUUAGAAUCUAUCACACCCGAUCAUCACGUGGUGCUUCGAAACAACGAACCUUCGCAACGGUGCACAGUUAGGGUGAACACUUUCUUGAAAUUAUUAUAAGGAAUCAUCUUACUUACUACCGUCGUUCUAAGCAAAUAAGAUGCAAAAACAUGAUAAACAUCACAUGCAAUCAAAUAGUGACAUGAUAUGGCCAAUAUCAUUAUGCUCCUUUGAUCUCCAUCUUCGGGGCACCAUGAUCAUCUUCUUCACCGGCAUGACACCAUGAUCUCCAUCAUCAUGAUCUCCAUCAUUGUGUCUUCAUGAAGUCGUCACGCCAACGAUUACAUCUACUUCUAUGGCUAACGCGUUUAGCAACAAAGUAAAGUAAUUUACAUGGCGUUAUUCAAUGACACGCAGGUCAUGCAAAAUAAUAAAGACAACUCCUAUGGCUCCUGCCGGUUGUCAUACUCAUCGACAUGCAAGUCGUGAUUCCUAUUACAAGAAUAUGAUCAAUCUCAUACAUCACAUAUAUCAUUCAUCACAUCUUCUGGCCAUAUCACAUCACAUAACACAUGCUGCAAAAACAAGUUAGACGUCCUCUAAUUGUUGUUGCAAGUUUUUACGUGGUUUGUAGGUUUCUAGCAAGAACGUUUUCUUACCUACGUAUGACCACAACGUGAUUUGCCAAUUUCUAUUUACCCUUCAUAAGGACCCUUUUCAUCGAAUCCGUUCCGACUAAAGUAGGAGAGACAGACACCCGCUAGCCACCUUAUGCAACUAGUGCAUGUCAAUCGGUGGAACCUGUCUCACGUAAGCGUACGUGUAAGGUCGGUCCGGGCCGCUUCAUCCGACAAUGCCGCCGAAACAAGAAAAGACUAGUAGCGGCAAGAAGAAUUGGCAAACUCAACGCCCACAACUGCUUUGUGUUCUACUCGUGCAUAGUAACUACGCAUAGGCCUGGCUCAUGAUGCCACUGUUGGGAAUCGUAGCAUAAUUUUAAAAUUUUCCUACGCUCACCAAGAUGCAUCUAUGGAGUAUACUAGCAACGAGGGGAAAGGAGUGCAUCUACAUACCCUUGUAGAUCGCGAGCGGAAGCGUUCCAAUGAACGUGGAUGACGGAGUCGUACUCGCCGUGAUCCAAAUCACCGAUGACCGAGUGCCGAACGGACGGCACCUCCGCGUUCAACACACGUACAGUGCAGCGACGUCUCCUCCUUCUUGAUCCAGCAAGGGGGAAGGAGAGGUUGAUGGAGAUCCAGCAGCACGACGGCGUGGUGGUGGAUGUAGCGGGUCUCGGCAGGGCUUCGCCGAGCUUCUNNNNNNNNNNNNNNNNNNNNGCCGGCCAAACCCAUCUAGGGUGGGGGGCGGCGGCCAAGGGGGGUGCCUUGCCCCCCAAGGCAAGUGGGAAGCCCCCCACCCUAGGGUUCCCAACCCUAGGCGCAUGGGGGGAGGCCCAUGGGGGGGCGCCCAGCCCACUAGGGACUGGUUCCCUUCCCACUUCAGCCCACGGGGCCCUCCGGGAUAGGUGGCCCCACCCGGUGGACCCCCGGGACCCUUCCGGUGGUCCCGGUACAAUACCGGUAACCCCCGAAACUUUCCCGGUGGCCGAAACUUGACUUCCUAUAUAUAAUUCUUCACCUCCGGACCAUUCCGGAACCUCUCGUGACGUCCGGGAUCUCAUCCGGGACUCCGAACAACUUUUGGGUUUCCGCAUACACAUAUCUCUACAACCCUAGCGUCACCGAACCUUAAGUGUGUAGACCCUACGGGUUCGGGAGACAUGCAGACAUGACCGAGACGCCUCUCCGGCCAAUAACCAACAGCGGGAUCUGGAUACCCAUGUUGGCUCCCACAUGUUCCACGAUGAUCUCAUCGGAUGAACCACGGUGUCGAGGAUUCAAUCAAUCCCGUAUACAAUUCCCUUUGUCAAUCGGUAUGUUACUUGCCCGAGAUUCGAUCGUCGGUAUCCCAAUACCUUGUUCAAUCUCGUUACCGGCAAGUCUCUUUACUCGUACCGCAAUGCAUGAUCCCGUGACUAACGCCUUAGUCACAUAGAGCUCAUUAUGAUGAUGCAUUACCGAGUGGGCCCAGAGAUACCUCUCCGUCACACGGAGUGACAAAUCCCAGUCUCGAUCCGUGCCAACCCAACAGACACUUUUAGAGAUACCCGUAGUGCACCUUUAUAGUCACCCAGUUACGUUGUGACGUUUGGCACACCCAAAGCAUUCCUACGGUAUCCGGGAGUUGCACGAUCUCAUGGUCUAAGGAAAAGAUACUUGACAUUGGAAAAGCUCUAGCAAACGAAACUACACGAUCUUUUAUGCUAUGCUUAGGAUUGGGUCUUGUCCAUGACAUCAUUCUCCUAAUGAUGUGAUCCCGUUAUCAAUUACAUCCAAUAUCCAUAGUCAGGAAACCAUGACUAUCUGUUGAUCAACGAGCUAGUCAACUAGAGGCUUACUAGGGACACGUUGUGGUCUAUGCAUUCACACAUGUAUUACGAUUUCCGGACAAUACAAUUAUAGCAUGAACAAUAGAUGAUUACCAUGAACAAAGAAAUAUAAUAAUAACCAUUUAUUAUUGCCUCUAGGGCAUAUUUCCAACAGGCUUCGCCUAAGCACUACGACGAUAUGAGUGAGGUGUUAAACUGUGAAGGGGGGCACCGAACACGGCUAAGAGAAGACUUGUUGUGCCUUUGGGGUGCCCCCUCCCCCGUAUAUAAAGGAGGGAGAGGGAGGAGGCCGGCCCUAAGGGGCGCACCAUAAGGGGGGAGUCCUACUAGGACUCCUAGUCCUAGUAGGAUUCGGCCCCUCUUCUUUUCCUUCUCAUGGAGGUGGAAAGGGGGAAGGAGAUGGAGUAGGAGAAGGAAAGGGGGGCGCCCCCCACCCCUUGUCCAAUUCGGAUUGGCAAGGGGGGGCGCGCUCCAACUCUUAUGGUCGGCCCUCUCUUCUCCACUAAGGCCCAUGUUGGCCCAUUACCUUCCGGGGGGGGUCCGGUAACCUCCCGGUACUCCGAAACUUCCCGAAAGCAUUCCAGUGUCCGAAUGUAACCUUCCAAUAUAUGAAUCUUUACCUCUCGACCAUUUAGAGACUCCUCGUCAUGUCCGUGAUCUCAUCCGGGACUCCGAACAAACUUCGGUCAUCAAAUCACAUAACUCAUAAUACAAAUCGUCAUCGAACAUUAAGCGUGCGGACCCUACGGGUUCGAGAACUAUGUAGACCAAGACACAUCUCCGGUCAAUAAUCAAUAGCGGAACCUGAAUGCUCAUAUUGGUUCCUACAUAUUCUAUGAAGAUCUUUAUCGAUCAAACCGCAUAACAACAUACGUUGUUCCCUUUGUCAUCGGUAUGUUACUUGCCCGAGAUUCGAUCGUCGGUAUCAUCAUACCUAGUUCAAUCUCGUUACCGUCAAGUCGCUUUACUCGUUCCGUAAUGCAUCAUCCCGUAACUAUCUCAUUAGUCAUAUUGCUUGCAAGGCUUAUAGUGAUGUGCAUUACCGAGAGGGCCCAGAGAUACCUCUCCGAUACACGGAGUGACAAAUCAUAUUCUUGAUCUAUGCCAACCCAACAAACACCUUCGGAGACACCUGUAGAGCAUAUUUAUAAUCACCCAGUUACGUUGUGACGUUUGAUAGCACACAAGGUGUUCCUCCGGUAUUCGGGAGUUGCAUAAUCUCAUUGUAAGAGGAACAUGUAUAAGUCAUGAAGAAAGCAAUAUCAAUAAAACAAAAACAAUCAUUAUGCUAAGCUAACGGAUGGGUCUUGUCCAUAUCCCGUUCAUCAAAUGACAACACAUGUCCAUGACUAGGAAACUUAACCAUCUUUGAUUAACGAGCUAGUCAAGUAGAGGCAUACUAGGGACACUCUGUUUGUCUGUGUAUUCACACAUGUACUAAGUUUCUGGUUAAUACAAUUCUAGCAUGAAUAAUAAACAUUUAUCAUGAUAUAAGGAAAUAUAAAUAACAACUUUAUUAUUGCCUCUAGGGCAAAUUUCCUUCACUCUCCCACUUGCACUAGAGUCAAUAAUCUAGAUUACAUAGUAAUGAUUCUAACACCCAUGGAGUCUUGGUGCUGAUCAUGUUUUGCUCGUGGAAGAGGCUUACUCAACGGGUCUGCAACAUUCAGAUCCGUAUGUAUUUUGCAAACUUCUAUGUCUCCCUCCUUGACUAGAUCGCGGAUGGAAUUGAAGCGUCUCUUGAUGUGCUUGGUUCUCUUGUGAAAUCUGGAUUCCUUCGCCAAGGCAAUUGCUCCAGUAUUGUCACAAAAGAUUUUCAUUGGACCCGAUGCACUAGGUAUUACACCUAGAUCGGAUAUGAACUCCUUCAUCCAGACUCCUUCAUUUGCUGCUUCGAAAGUAGCUAUGUACUCCGCUUCACACGUAGAUCCCGCCACGACGCUCUGCUUGGAACUGCACCAACUGACAGCUCCACCAUUCAAUAUAAAUACAUAUCCGGUUUGCGACUUAGAGUCAUCCGGAUCAGAGUCAAAGCUUGCAUCGACGUAACCAUUUAUGAUGAGAUCUUUGUCACCUCCAUAAACGAGAAACAUAUCCUUAGUCCUUUCCAGGUAUUUCAGGAUGUUCUUGACCGCUUUCCAGUGAUCCACUCCUAGAUUACUUUGGUACCUCCCCGCUAAACUUAUAGCAAGGCACACAUUAGGUCUGGUACACAACAUUGCAUGCAUGAUAGAACCUAUGGCUGAGGCAUAGGGAAUGACUUUCAUUUUCUCUCUAUCUUCUGCAGUGGUAGGGCAUUGAGUCUGACUCAACUUCACACCUUGUAACACAUGCAAGAACCCUUUCUUUGACUGAUCCAUUUUGAACUUUUUCAAAACUUUAUCAAGGUAUGUGCUUUGUGAAAGUCCAAUUAAGUGUCUUGAUCUAUCUCUAUAGAUCUUGAUGCCCAAUAUAUAAGCAGCUUCACUGAGGUCUUUCAUUGAAAAAUUCUUAUUCAAAUAUUCUUUUAUGCUAUCCAGAAAUUCUAUAUCAUUUUUGAUCAACAAUAUGUCAUCCACACAUAAUAUCAAAAAUGCUACAGAGCUCCCACUCACUUUCUUGUAAGUACAGGCUUCUCCAAAAGUCUGUAUAAAACCAUAUGCUUUGAUCACACUAUCAAAGCGUAUAUUCCAACUCCGAGAGGCUUGCACCAGUCCAUAAAUGGAUCGCUGGAGCUUGCACACUUUGUUAGCACCUUUAGGAUCGACAAAACCUUCUGGUUGCAUCAUAUACAACUCUUCUUUAAGAUAUCCAUUAAGGAAUGAAGUUUUGACAUCCAUUUGCCAAAAUUCAUAAUCAUAAAAUACGGCAAUUGCUAACAUGAUUUGGACAGACUUAAGCAUUGCUACGGGUGAAAAGGUCUCAUCGUAGUCAACUCCUUGAACUUGUCGAAAACCUUUCGCAACAAGUCGAGCUUUGUAGACAGUAACAUUACCGUCAGCGUCAGUCUUCUUCUUGAAGAUCCAUUUAUUCUCUAUGGCUUGCCGAUCAUCGGGCAAGUCAACCAAAUUCCAUACUUUGUUCUCAUACAUGGAUCCCAUCUCAGAUUUCAUGGCCUUAAGCCAUUUCGCGGAAUCUGGGCUCAUCAUUGCUUCCUCAUAGUUCAUAGGUUCAUCAUGGUCUAGUAACAUGACUUCCAGAACAGGAUUACCGUACCACUCUGGUGCGGAUCGUGCUCUGGUUGACCUACGAGGUUCAGUAGUAGCUUGAUCUGAAGUUUCAUGAUCAUCAUCAUUAGCUUCCUCACUAAUUGGUGUAGGAAUCACUGGAACUGAUUUCUGUGGUGAACUACUUUCCAAUUCGGGAGAAGGUACAAUUACCUCAUCAAGUUCUACUUUCCUCCCACUCACUUCUUUCGAGAGAAACUCCUUCUCUAGAAAGGAUCCAUUCUUAGCAACGAAUAUCUUGCCUUCGGAUCUGUGAUAGAAGGUGUACCCAAUAGUCUCCUUUGGGUAUCCUAUGAAGACACAUUUUUGCGAUUUGGGUUCGAGCUUAUCAGGUUGAAGCUUUUUCACAUAAGCAUCGCAUCCCCAAACUUUAAGAAACGAUAGCUUAGGUUUCUUGCCAAACCACAGUUCAUACGGUGUUGUCUCAACGGAUUUAGAUGGUGCCCUAUUUAACAUGAAUGCAGCUGUCUCUAAUGCAUAACCCCAAAAUGAUAGUGGUAAAUCGGUAAGAGACAUCAUAGAUCGCACCAUAUCUAAUAAAGUACGGUUACGAUGUUCGGACACACCAUUACACUGUGGUGUUCCAGGUGGCGUGACUUGUGAAACUAUUCCACAUUGUUUUAAAAUGAAGGCCAAACUCGUAACUCAAAUAUUCACCUCCGCGAUCAGAUCGUAGAAACUUUAUUUUCUUGUUACAAUGAUUCUCCACUUCACUCUGAAAUUCUUUGAACUUUUUAAAUGUUUCAGACUUGUGUUUCAUUAAGUAGAUAUACUCAUAUCUGCUCAAAUCAUCUGCGAAGGUCAGAAAAUAACGAUACCCACCGCGAGCCUCAACACUCGUCGGACCGCAUACAUCGGGAUGUAUUAUUUCCAAUAAGUCAUUGGCUCGCUCCAUUGUUCCGAAGAACGGAGUUUUAGUCAUCUUGCCCAUGCGGCAUGGUUCGCAAGUAUGAAAUGAUUCAUAACAAAGUGAUUCCAAAAAUCCAUUCAUAUGGAGUUUCUUCAUGCGCUUUACACCAAUAUGACCUAAACGGUAGUGCCAUAAACAAAUUGCACUAUCAUUAUUAACCUUGCAAUUUUUGGCUUCAAUAUUAUGAAUAUGUGUGUCACUACAAUCAAGAUUCAAUUAAAAUAGACUACUCAUCAAGGGUGCUUGACCAUAAAAGAUAUUACUCAUAUAAAUAGAAUAACCAUUAUUCUCUGAUUUAAAUGAAUAACCGUCUCGCAUUAAACAAGAUCCAGAUAUAAUGUUCAUGCUCAACGCUGGCACCAAAUAACAAUUAUUUAGGUCUAAAACUAAUACCGACGGUAGAUGUAGAGGUAGCGUGCUGACGACGAUCACAUCGACUUUGGAACCAUUUCCCACGCGCAUCUUCACCUCGUCCUUAGCCAAUCUUCAUAUAAUCCGUAGCCCCCUGUUUCGAGUUGCAAAUAUGAGCAACAGAACCAGUAUCAAAUACCCAGGCGCUACUACGAGCAUUAGUAAGGUACACAUCAAUAACAUAUAUAUCAAAUAUACCUUCCACUUUGCCAUCCUUCUUAUCCGCCAAAUACUUGGGGCAAUUCCGCUUCCAGUGACCAGUCCCUUUGCAGUAGAAGCACUCAGUCUCAGGCUUAGGUCCAGACUUGGGCUUCUUCACUUGAGCAGCAACUUGCUUGCCGUUCUUCUUGAAGUUACCCUUCUUCCCUUUGCCUUUUUUUUCUUGAAACUAGUGGUCUUGUUAACCAUCAACACUUGAUGCUCCUUCUUGAUUUCUACCUCCGCAGCUUUUAGCAUCGUGAAGAGCUCGGGAAUUGUCUUAGCCAUCCCUUGCAUAUUAUAGUUCAUCACGAAGCUUUUGUAGCUAGGUGGCAGUGAUUGAAGAACUCUGUCAAUGACACUAUCAUCAGGAAGAUUAACUCCCAGUUGAGUCAAGUGGUUAUGGUACCCAGACAUUCUGAGUAUAAGUUCACUAACAGAACUAUUCUUCUCCAUCUUGCAGCUAUAGAACUUAUUGGAGACUUCAUAUCUCUCAAUUCGGGCAUUUGCUUGAAAUAUUAACUUCAACUCCUGGGACAUCUCAUACGCUCCAUGACGUUCAAAACGUCGUUGAAGUCCCGAUUCUAAGCCGUAAAGCAUGGCACACUGAACUAUCGAGUAGUCAUCAGCUUUGCUCUGCCAGACGUUCAUAACAUCUGGCGUUGCUCCUGCAGCGGAUUUGGCACCUAGCGGUGCUUCCAGGACGUAAUUCUUCUGUGCAGCAAUGAGGAUAAUCCUCAAGUUACGGACCCAGUCCGUAUAGUUGCUACCAUCAUCUUUCAACUUAGCUUUCUCUAGGAACGCAUUAAAAUUCAACGGAACAACAGCACGGGCCAUCUAUCUACAACAACAUAGACAUGCAAAAUACUAUCAGGUACUAAGUUCAUGAUAAACUAAAGUUCAAUUAAUCAUAUUACUAAAGAACUCCCACUUAGAUAGACAUCCCUCUAAUCAUCUAAGUGAUCACGUGAUCCAUAUCAACUAAACCAUGUCUGAUCAUCACGUGAGAUGGAGUAGUUUUCAAUGGUGAACAUCACUAUGUUGAUCAUAUCUACUAUACGAUUCACGCUCGACCUUUUGGUCUUAGUGUUCCGAGGCCAUAUCUGCAUAUGCUAGGCUCGUCAAGUUUAACCCGAGUAUUCUGCGUGUGCAAAACUGGCUUGCACCCGUUGUAUGUGAACGUAGAGCUUAUCACACCCGAUCAUCACGUGGUGUCCCGGCACGACGAACUUUCGCAACGGUGCAUACUUAGGGAGAACACUUUUACCUUGAAAUUUAGUGAGAGAUCAUCUUAUAAUGCUACCGUCGUACUAAGCAAAAUAAGAUGCAUAAAAAAUAAACAUCACAUGCAAUCAAUAUAAGUGAUAUGAUAUGGCCAUCAUCAUCUUGUGCCUUUGAUCUCCAUCUCCAAAGCACCGUCAUUAUCACCAUCAUCACCGGCGUGACACCUUGAUCUCCAUCGUAGCAUCGUUGUCGUCUCGCCAACUAUUGCUUCUACGACUAUCGCUGCCGCUUAGUGAUAAAGUAAAGCAAUUACACUACGAUUGCAUUUCAUACAAUAAAGCGACAACCAUAAGGCUCCUGCCAGUUGCCGAUAACGGUUACAAAACAUGAUCAUCUCAUACAACAAUUUAUAUCUCAUCACAUCUUGACCAUAUCACAUCACAACAUGCCCUGCAAAAACAAGUUAGACGUCCUCUACUUUGUUGUUGCAAGUUUUACGUGGCUGCUACGGGCUUUUAGCAAGAACCGUUCUUACCUACGCAUCAAAACCACAAUGAUUUUUUGUCAAGUGUGCUGUUUUAACCUUCAACAAGGACCGGUCGUAGUCAAACUCGAUUCAACUAAAGUUGGAGAAACACACACCCGCCAGCCACCUGUGUGCGAAGCACAUCGGUAGAACCAGUCUCAUAAACGCGGUCAUGUAAUGUCGGUCUGGGCCACUUCAUCCAACAAUACCGCCGAAUCAAAGUAAGACGUUGGUGGUAAGCAGAAUGACUAUUAUCGCCCACAACUCUUUGUGUUCUACUCAUGCAUAUCAUCUACACAUAGACCUGGCUCUGAUACCACUGUUGGGGAACGUAGCACGCAAUUUCAAAAAAAAUCCUACGAUCACGCAAGAUCUAUCUAGGAGAUGCAUAGCAAUGAAAGGGGGAGAGUGUGUCCACGAACCCUCGUAGACCGAAAGUGGAAGCGUUAGGUUAACGCAAUUGAUGUAGUCGAACGUCUUCGCGAGCCAACCGAUCAAGUUCCGAACGUACGGCGCCUCCGAGUUCUGCACACGCUCAGCUUAAUGACGUCCCUCGAGCUCUUGAUCCAGUUGAGGACGAGGGAGAGUUCCGUCAGCAUGACGGUGUGGCGACGGUGAUGAUAAAGUUACCGGCGCAGGGCUUCGCCUAAGCACUACGACGAUAUGACCGAGGUGUUAAACUGUGGAGGGGGCACCGUACACAGCUAAGAGAAGACUUGUUGUGCCUUUGGGGUGCCCCCUCCCCUGUAUAUAAAGGAGGGAGAGGGAGGAGGCCGGCCCUAGGGGGCGCGCCAUAAGGGGGGAGUCCUACUAGGACUCCUAGUCCUAGUAGGAUUCGGCCCCCUCUUCUUUUCCUUCUCAUGGAGGUGGAAAGGGGGGAGGAGAGGGAGUAGGAGAAGGAAAGGGGGGCGCCGCCCCCACCCCUUGUCCAAUUUGGAUUGGCAAGGGGGGGCACCUCCUAUGGCCGGCCCUCUCUUCUCCACUAAGGCCCAUGUUGGCCCAUUACCUUCCCGGGGGUUUCCGGUAACCUCCCGGUACUCUGAAACUUAUCUGAAACUUCCCGAAACCAUUCCGGUAUCGGAAUGUAACCUUCCAAUGUAUGAAUCUUUACCUCUCGACCAUUUCGAGACUCGUCGUCAUGUCCGUGAUCUCAUCCGGGACUCCGAACAAACUUCAAUCAUCAAAUCACAUAACUCAUAAUACAAAUCGUCAUCGAACGUUAAGCGUGCGGACCCUACGGGUUCGAGAACUAUGUAGACAUGACCGAGACACAUCUACAGUCAAUAACCAAUAGCGGAACGUGAAUGCUCAUAUUGGUUCCUACAUAUUCUACGAAGAUCUUUAUCGGUCAAACUGCAUAACAACAUACAUUGUUCCCUUUGUCAUCGGUAUGUUACUUGCCCGAGAUUCGAUCGUCGGUAUCAUCAUACCUAGUUCAAUCUCGUUACCGGCAAGUCUCUUUACUCGUUCCGGAAUGCAUCAUCCUGUAACUAACUCAUUAGUCAUAUUGCUUGCAAGGCUUAUAGUGAUGUGCAUUACCGAGAGGGCCUAGAGAUACCUCUCCGACACUCGGAGUGACAAAUCCUAAUCUCGAUCUAUGCCAACUCAACAAACACCAUCGGAGACACCUGUAGAGCAUCUUUAUAAUCACCGAGUUACGUUGUGACGUUUGAUAGCACACAAGGUGUUCCUCCGGUCUUCGGGAGUUGCAUAAUCUCAUAGUCUGAGGAACAUGUAUAAGUCAUGAAGAAAGCAAUAGCAAUAAAACAAAACGAUCAUUAUGCUAAGCUAACGGAUGGGUCUUGUCCAUCCCAUCAUUCUCUAAUGAUGUGAUCCCGUUCAUCAAAUGACAACACAUGUCCAUGGCUAGGAAACUGAACCAUCUUUGAUUAAUGAGCUAGUCAAGUAGAGGCAUACUAGGGACACUCUGUUUGUUUAUGUAUUCACACAUGUACUAAGUUUCCGGUUAAUAUAAUUCUAGCAUGAAUAAUAAACAUUUAUCAUGAUAUAAGGAAAUAUAAAUAACAACUUUAUUAUUGCCUCUAGGGCAUAUUUCCUUCAGCCGCACCUCCCCCGCCGGCGCAGCGCAGACGCCGGAGCUGGACCCUCCCGGGUCGCGUAGCGAUGCCCAGUUAGCACAGUCCGUGUCGACCCCGCGUCAUCUCCUUCCCCCUUCGUCCGCUCCUGCACGUGGCCCCCGCUGGGUGCCUGUGCCCGCGCCUCCGGCUCGCGCGCGCACUCCGGAGUCGUAGGCGCACGGUGCGAGAGGCAGCGUGCACGGGAGAGGGAGGCGGCGGAGCAGUCCGCGCGCCGCCGCCGCGGGACGGAGCCGGACGCCGACGAUGACACACAUCUCCUCACCUGGGUGUAUCGCCGCUCCCUCACGACGGCGGAGACGGACACUCGCCACCUCUAAUGGAAGAACGCAAAGGCGCUCCGGCUAGCCAUAGAGCAGUCAGAGCGCGAGGCGAAGGAGGCAGCGGCGGAGAAGGCUCAGGUGGCAAGGCUGAAGCGGGAGCAGGACAGGACGGGCCGUCGGAUGAAGGGGCUCAUCGUCCUCUCCGACUCCGACGGCGGCGACAGCGGCACCUCGUCGUCCGAAGACCAAGACCCUCCACCAGCCUCGGACGCCUACAGUUGCGCCGGCGACCGGAAGGGCAAAGGCCCGACGAGGAAGUGGUGAUUUUGGCCCCCCUCCUCCUCAAUGUUUAUAUCGUUUUAGUUGUAGAAGUUUAUGAACUUGUCCGUGGAUGAACUGUAAUCUUUUGGAUGUGGUGAAGUAUGUUUAUAUCCGUUUGCAGCCGAUAUUAUGUUCUUUUGCAGCUUAAUUUUGUUGUCCAUCGUCUGAUCACGUAUGAUAGAUCAACGUGUGCAUGGGUGGUAUGGAUAUAAGACGCCGGAUAUGAGAUAAGCGGAUGCAGGACGACAAAUUUGAGGUGUGCCCGAUCACUACCCGCGGACACGCCGGAUUUGCCGUAUGUGGCUGUAGAUGCUCUAACACUCUCCCGCCUUGCAUUGUCUUGUUCCAAGACAACACUGUGACUGCCGACGCAAACAGUUCGCUCAAACAACGAAUCACAUAGUUUUGACCAGCGCAAAUUCAGUCUAGGGAACGGAUUCUUAGGCCCCCUUUGAUUUGCAUGAUUCUCAAAAUAUAAGAAUAAGAAAUAGUAUAUUGGAUUGGAAUGACAUGCCCACUUGAUCCCUAUAGGGUUUGCACAGAAUAUUUGACGCCGCAAGAAAAAAGAAGAAACUGCAAAAAGACACUUGAGUGGAUCCUGGAUUUUCGGUGAAAUACAGUACACAUGAUUUUAUAGGAAACAUUUCUAUAGGAUACUACUGGCACAUAUGACCGUGCGUUGCAAUGGCAAAUAAAAUAGUAUGCAUCUAAAGUUAGUAAGAAUUAUAUGUGCAAGUAAAACCCUGUGUGCACGUGAAAAGGAACAUUUAGCUUCUCGGUUUCACCGAGUGUGAUGCAAUCAAUCCGCUAUUUUUUCAUUCAUUGAUCGAGGGUAUUUAAGAGUUUUGUUACGUCAUCGUACGCCAGGGAAGCCCCAUGAAUUAUUCAAUCUACUUUUCCUUUCAAUCGAGGAGAUUUUAAGGUAUGAAGUUACUGAAUAUUGUACGAAACAUGAAUCAUUUUUAAGUCCGGAACUGUUAUUUAAAAGUUAUGUAUACUUUCAGAAAGAUCUUUUAAACAAAUGUAUUGACCAUAAAACAAGAAUAUUUUCGAAUUUGGAGCAAUUUUUAAAAUGCCAUUUUAAUUUAGAAAUCUCGAACAAUUUUGAAAAACAAUAAAAGAUUUUGAAAAAAUGGGAAACUUUUUUCAAGUUCCGAAUAUUUUUCAAAAUAGCAACAAAAUUUCGGAAUUCUGAACAUUUUCUAUAAUUUGAUUUUUUUUGAAAUAUUGAAUUUUUUUGAGGAUUUUUAAUUUAUGAAAUUAAUCCUAUGAGAAAAAUAAACUUGAAAGGGAAAAAGAGAUAGGGGAAGGAGAAUAAAAAUAGAAGUAAAACACAGAAACAAAGGAAAAUGGGCGAGCAAAUUAUUGUUUGUCCUGUGCGAAGCUCUGACUAUUUGUCGCACCACGCAAAAAAUAGAAUUUUCCUAGCUGCAUGGGCAGAAAAAUAAGUGGGCUGGCUUUUGUGGGCCACAGCGCGUGACCCACGUACGAAAUUCUGGAAAAGCCUUUUUUCUAGUGGACGAACGCAUAAGAAUUUUGUUCCACCUCGGAUAGAAAAAAAAUCGGCAGUGAACGAAUAAAAAAAUUAGCGAAACGCACCUUACUUUAUUAGUAGGUAUAGAUGAAUCGAACAACCAAUAUAAGUAAAAAUUUCUAAGGAUUCUAACACUUCAAAAAUCCUAUGGAAUUCCUUUGAAUCAAAGGAGCCCUUAUCAACCGAUUGUAGCAGGACUGAUCGCUCGCCGUUGUGAGGGAUAGCCACCACAUGGUGUAAGCUGGUCGGCUAUUCUGCGAGGAGGACGCCGCGAUGCGAGUUGCUCUCGUGCUACUCCCUCCAAUCGACAACACAUGGGUGCUGCGACGACGUCUCGGGCAAGUGGCGCUGCAACGACGUCAACCUGUUGCAGGGUCGUGAGGAUGGCGGCUAGUGCAGCUGCGAUGUCGUGAUACGAGUGAUGACGGGACUGUUGUGAUGCGGUGCUAGGAGCGACGUCGCGAGGCCGGGCAAUGCUAUGUUGCUCGCCGGAGUUUAGGUUGAUGCUCAUGGUCGAUGCAAGCUUGCCGGCCUUUUUGCUAGGAGCCGACAAGCUGUGUGGCUGCUGCAAGCAGGCGUUGCGAGCCGCUGGGAUCGCUGAAGGUAUUUGCCGCCAUUCGCACUCUCCUAGUCGUUUGACGCGCGCGUGCUUCAAGUCGAUGGUGCAACGAUCGACUUUGCGAAGGGGUGGGCGGCGGCACUGCUGCAAAGCACCGAAGGUUGCUUCAACAGUCACACGACGAUGUUACGUGGGAAGCGACAGAGUUGUUGUUACGAUGAUCUGGCGAUUCCUUCGAGAUGUGCAAGACGGUGCCCCGAAGGCCAUCACCAGAUGGCGUGGCGGUGUGCAUGAGACGUUGCUGCGCGCAAGCAAGGUAGACGGAGUUGUUGCUGCCAUGGUUGUAAGGAUACUGCAAGGACGACCGGUGAUGCGACGAAUGAGCGAACAGAGUUACUGUUGCGACGACCACUUACGAGGCUGCGACGUGGCCAGGCAAGGCUACGAGUGGGGCGGGUGGAGCCGCCGCUGCGAGGACUAAGCUUGAGCGCUAAGCUUCGUGCCGACCGCUACAUUGUUGUUGAUGGCGAGCCCAUUGAAAAGCUAGCGAGCGAUUUAUGGAACCUUAUAGAAGGUUCCUGAACCGGUUCCUUUUCUUGGUCAUUUUGCUUUUUGUGUCUUUUCUUUCUUCAUUUAUUCUAUUUCGAUAUUAUUUUCAAAUAUUCACAGUAUUUGAAAAAAAUCUGACUUUAAAACGUGUUCAUGUUUUUUUAAUGUUCGUGUUUUUCAAAACAUGUUUGUAAUUUCUAAAUUCAUUCACAAUUUCAAUAAAUUUUCACGCUCUUCAAAAAAUGUUCUUGUUUCUAAAAAAUUGUUUGGAAUUUUUAGAAAUUUCUUUGUGUAUUUGAAAAAUGUUUAGAAGAUUCAAUAACUAUCCAUGUUUUCAAAAAUUGUUCAUCUUUUCGAAAAUCAUUCCCAUUUUAUAAUUUCUCAUGGAUUUUCCCAAAUUUUGUUCAUGUUUUAAAAAAAUUCUAAAGAUUUCAAAGAUAUGUGUUCUAAAAAAUGUUUCCAUUACUAAAAAUUGUUUGGAAUUUUUUUCAUAAUAUGUUCAUGUUUUAAAAAGAAUGUUUGGAAGAUUAAAAAAUGCUCAUUCAAGAAAAAUUCCGUGAUUUAAAAAAUGUUCAAUUUCUUCUAAAAAUGGGGUGUCGAAAAUACUUUGUGAUUUUCAAAAAUUGUUCGCGAACUUUUUUUUUACUCGUCAACUUUUUUUUAUUCAUGAAAAAAAGGCAAAGAUAUUUUUAAUUCAUGACUGCUUAUAAUACAUGAACACCCAAGACUUUAGUGAGUCAAUUGUCUUAUCCGAGAACAUAUUCAUGUCGUCCUAUGUGGAGGACUCCCAGCUUCUGAUUGAGAAGUACAUGCCUUCGGAUUCAGAUGUGAUUUGAGGGGCCUGCUAGGCAGCCAACAUUUGUGCUGGCGGUGCCUAAUGUUGGUGUUGCCGCUUCACAUUAGGCAGACAUCAAGUCUGCGAAGGCAAAAAUGUCUGGGAUGAACUCAAUGAAACAACAAUCGUUUGUGUCCACCUUCGUUCUUAACAACAUGUGAGAGCUCAUAACCAGUGCGGUGAGGACUGACAAGGGCUUCAAUAAAGUGUACUUGAACUUUGUUGUCAAGCAGAUCUUUGAGUUAUGUGGCGAAGAGAUCACCUCGAUCCAGGUAUACAACCACCUCAGGAAGAGGAAGUGGAGAGCAAGAUGGAUCCAAAUAUCUAGGCUCAUAGACCUUAGCGACCCACAAUGCGAUCAUGACACUUCACGAUCAUGUCGGAUGUAGAGCACUAUCAAGGCCACACCGUGGUUAGCUCAUAUACCAUUUUUUUUGAGCUUCUCUAACAUGUCAAUCACAACUAAUCACAUUGCUUUUCUUUCUUAGGACCAUCCCAAGGAUGCUGAGUUCCUCAACACUUUCACCAGAACUACUCACAGCUAGAGCAGAUCUUCUCCUAUGGGCUGGCUACUGACAAGCAUGCCAUAGGCUCCAGUGAACGCCUUGGUUUGCCUAUGUCUGGGUAUCCAGACAUCUAGGAGUCAGAGACCAUCACCAUUGAUGGUCUUGAGAAGGCUGUUGUUUACAUUCCCGUUCUUGAUAGGAAGAGGCAGAUGUGUGGCUUGAUGGACAAGGAGAUGAGCAUCUUUAGCAGGAUGACUGAGGCCGUCAAGGAGGUGCAACUGCCAUCAGAGAGAGCAAGUCUAUCGACGUCCACCCUUCACUAUACAACGCUGUCAUGGAAGAAGAUGCCGUCAAUUACGAGGAUCUGAUGGCGGAUCUUAGGCUUCUACUGGACAACAAGGCAUAGGGUCUUGGGUUCGUUUGCAUGGGGGACAACCAUAUGAUGCUUUGGUUAGGUUCUGGCUCUGUUUUUUUUACGGUGGUGGCGACGUGUAUGAUGAUGACAGAGGAUGACAAACAGGGAGAGAGAGUGAAGGGGAGAUAUGUCUACCGAUGCACACGAGGGGCGCCCGGGCGCGCAUCGCGGGCUUCAGCUUCGUUGCGACGCAAGGGCCAAGGACAACGCUACUGCCGCGUUUGCAAAUCACUCAUGCUGCCUGGUACAAUCACAUUGUUGUGGCAGUCUCGAGCAACGGCCUCAUCUCCGUAUGCGUCGACACACGAAGGCCAGCACCAUAUGCCAUCUAUUUGGCGCACGGUAUGCCACCACGCGCUCUGGGGUGGUUGUCCUGGCGGCACGAUGCUGCGAACAUGAGGCGCCGAGCUCCAUUCAUUUUGUGGCCAUGCGCUGUACAGGAGUGAUUUUUUUGGCAGGAGGAGCACUUGCACCGUUCGUCUUGUUCCAAGACAGCAAUGUGCUAUAGAGGUGCGUCUACAUUAUAUGCGGAUUUAUUUCUAUAAUGAAAAGCAACACCAAUCGAAUCACGUAAAAAUAAAGAAAAAGGAUAAACAAUCGGAUGAGAUUGAGACGGGAGAAAUCAAGAAUUUCAAUUCUUUUGAGACAGAGGUACUCUAGUAACUAGUAUGUACUACAGGCUAUUACCCCGUUGGAGUCAAUAUUUAUUUACUUUUAACUACACAUAAGUUGCGAAUCGGCAGCGACAAAUGAGAGUUUCUUUUAGCAUGUACAUUGAAUCCUAUUCCACACGCGAGUCGGGGAAUAGCGACCAAACCGCUCACCCCCACACACUCUAAUGGGCUAGCCCAUUGGCUCUGUUAUAUGUGUUUUGCUUCUCUGUUUUCCCAUCCCAUUUCUAAACCUUUUUUUUAUUUUCAGUUGUUUCCAUUUCAGUUUUUUUUCGUUUUCAUUUUUCUUUUACUUUUUAUUUUUUCCAUUUUAAAACUCAAAACAGUUUUGGAAAUUUGGCAAUUAUUUUCCUAAUUUUAGAAAAAAUACAUGAAUAUUGUGAGAAUUAAUGAACAUCUUUUGAUCAGUCCACAUUUUUUAAAUGACGAAAAUUUUAUCAAACUGGUAAAAAAAUCGUCAAUAUUUUAUGCAUUGUGAGCAUUUAUUGAAUAAACGAAUUUUUUUUAAUUCGGGAUUUUUAAAAAUUCAUGAAUGUUUUUUGAAUUCAAAAACAUUGUUCAACUGGUGAAAAUUUCUGAAAGUCAUGUUAUUUAAUUAACGGACAUUUUAUAAAUUUGGGAAUGUUUUAAAAUUUUAUAAACCUUUUCUAAAUCCAGCCUUUUUUCGAAUUUUUUACGUUUAAAAAAUGCAGAAUAUUUUUUGAAUUCUAUAAAAAGUAAAAAACGUGAAAAUUUAUUGAAUUAAAAAUUUAUUUUACAGAAGCAAAAUAAAUAAAUAAGAAAAUAAAAAUAAGGUCGCCUGCCCUGCAAAUAGGUUGGCCCAAACGGGUGCGCGGGGGAUUGCGCGUUGGGCCACUCUUGCCGCCCUGGGAAUGAUAAAAAAAAACAUACUACGCUGGAAAUAGGAACUUCAGAGAAAAACAGAUGUUGGAAUAACUGGGUGCGGCAUGUGCUGCCGCAGCGAUUCUUUGCGCAGGAUCGCCUGUAGGGAGCCGCUACUAUUGUUUAUAUUUUUUUAAUACAGUACAGACGCAAGCGCUCAUAUACACGCGCAUACGCUCACCUCUAUGAACGCACACAUGCAUAUCCUAUUCCUAUGAACAUGUCCGAAAGACUAAGCAGGCAUAUCAUCUUAAAAUUUACGAAGUCACCGUAGGCACCUCGUCAUGGACGGAAACGUCUCCUCCCACUAAAUGCGCAUCGCCGGAAAUCCUGAAAUAAAUUCAGGAAUAAAUGCAAGCACCAGGACUUGAACCCUGGCGGGCUGGGGUUACCACAGUCCCUUUGACCAUCCAACCACAGUUUGGUUUGCUACUAUUGUUUAUAUUUUGAAAUAUUCUAAAUAUAUUAUAAAAACACUUUACAUAUUUUUAAAACAAUUGUUAAUCAUUCAUUUGACAAAUGUUAAACGUGCAUAGAAAAAUGUCAAUAAUGUGUAAUGUUUGUGACAUUAAAAAUUGUCAUGCGUUUAGAAAAAAAUUGUGUGGCAUUUAAAAAAAUUUAUACAAUAAUAAAAAAUGUUCUCACAAUGAAAAAAUUCAUAUAUGAAAAAAAUGCAUGUUAGAUUUAAAGAAACGUUAACAAGUUUCAAAAGUAUGAACAUAGGAAUUUCAAAUAAAGUGUAUACAAUGUAAAACACUACUUGGGUACUGGAAAAAAGCGUUGCCUACCAUUAAAAAAAUAUAUGUGACAUUUAAAUGAAACAUUCCCGCGAUUCAUAAAAGUGUUUAUGGCGUUUAACAAUGUUUAUACAAAUGUGAAAAUAUGAGCCCGCGAUUCAUAAAAGUGUAUGUGGCAUUUUUGCAGAGUAUCCACGUGUUUCCAAAAAAAUGUCGAUGAAGAUUUGAAAAAUACUUAUACAAUUAAUAAUUUUUUUGCAGUUAAAAUAAAUUUUUUUGGCCAAUGAAAUUAUGUACAUUGUCAAUGUCUACUUUGAAACUGUUACGGUGUAUCCAAAAAAUGUUUGUAACAUGUAUUUAAAAAAAUUAAGUUAUGUAUUUAAAUCUUUCAAAAGAGUUUCAAAAAAUGUUUUGCAUGUGUGUGUGCGCGCUACAAAUGUAGAUUGUGUACUCACAAAAAUUAGACAUGUGUUAAAACAAAGAAACAUAUUAAAGUCAACAAAGAAACAACAAGAAAAGUGAAGAAAACCUAGGAAUAUGAUGAAAACCAAGAAAGAAACAAAACAGAACCAAAANNNNNNNNNNNNNNNNNNNNNNNNNNNNNNNNNNNNNNNNNNNNNNNNNNNNNNNNNNNNNNNNNNNNNNNNNNNNNNNNNNNNNNNNNNNNNNNNNNNNNNNNNNNNNNNNNNNNNNNNNNNNNNNNNNNNNNNNNNNNNNNNNNNNNNNNNNNNNNNNNNNNNNNNNNNNNNNNNNNNNNNNNNNNNNNNNNNNNNNNNNNNNNNNNNNNNNNNNNNNNNNNNNNNNNNNNNNNNNNNNNNNNNNNNNNNNNNNNNNNNNNNNNNNNNNNNNNNNNNNNNNNNNNNNNNNNNNNNNNNNNNNNNNNNNNNNNNNNNNNNNNNNNNNNNNNNNNNNNNNNNNNNNNNNNGAGCAAGCGAACUGCAAAUAUGUACAAGUGACAACGAGCCAAUGCGCUGAUGGCUGGCUCGGUUCACUCCCCCGUAGGCGAUUCCUAAUAGCAAUCAGUACAUUUGAGACAUAUCCCUUGCGGGAAUAAGACAACCAUGUGAUUAUGACAUUCUUGUGUCCCAGUCCGACAACAUGCCCGAAGGACAAAGUUGGUUGGUUCAUGGGUCGCGCAAAUGUAUGCACCAAAAAUGUCAUGCUAAUUUAUUUAUUUUCUUCUAUUUUCCUAUUUAUUUUUAAUUUAAAACAUAUAUUUAUUUUAAAAAGUUAUCAUGUGCUUGCAAAUUGUUAAACAUGUAUAAGAGAAACAUUUUUAAUUAUACAAAAAAUCUACAAUACGUAUGGAAAAAGUACUCUCUUCAUUCCAUAAUAUAAGAUCUUAUUACAUCCAAUAUAUAUUAUUGGACGGAGGGAGUAGACAUCAAAAUAUAUAUUGAGAAAAAAAUAUUAAUCAUGUAGUUGAAAAAUGUUAGACGUAUAUAAGAAAAAUGUUUCUUAUGUAUACGAACAUGCACAAUCAGUAAGAAAAAAGUGGGCAUCAAAACAUAUAUCUGAAAAAUGUUAAUCAUACAUUUAAAAGAUAUUUAACAAGUACAACAAAAUGUUCCUAUUGUUAACCAAAAAAUUUAAAUUUCUUCGAAAAAAUGUAGACCUCAAAGCAUAUCAUUUUUUUAAAUGGUACGUGUAUUUUAAAAAUGAAAACCAUGUAUAAACGAUGUUCGUGAUUUAUAUGGAAAAUUUACAACAUACAUUAAAUAAAAGUACCAUUAAAAAUAUGUUAAAAAAUGUUUCUAAUGUAUACAAAAAAAUGUUUACUACCAUUCAAAAAAUAUUCACUGUGUACUUGAAAAUAUGUUGACCAUGUACUACAAAAGAGUUCAAAACUAGUAUUUAAUAAAAAAAAAUAUUGUGCACUUAAAGAUUGUUUAACGUGUGUCAACAAAAUGUAACGUUUACACUAAAAAUGCACAUUGUGUAAUAAAAAAGUUGUAUGUGUUGAAUAAAAUAGUAAUCACUGAUAGUUGACAAAGAAAUGAAGAAAAGCAAAGAAAAUCGAAAAAUAAACAAAUCAAACCUAAAAAUGAAAAAUAAAAGCAAUGAAAAAGAAUGGAAACAAGAAAUAACCAAAUAAAAUUGAAGAAAACCAUAAAAAGAAAGAAAAGAUAAAGAAAGAAAAAACAGAGAAAACCAAGAAAGAAACAAAGGAACGAAAGAAAUCAUAGAAAAAAGGAAGAAAAUAGAAAAAAUCAAUAAAGACCGGGAAAGAAACAGAGAAAACUGUGAAAAAGCAAGGAAAACAGACCAAACAACAAAGAUUGCACGACUGAUCGAGUGAACGAAAAAAAACACCAAAACUGGCCGGCCGAGAAGCGGCUUGAAAAGAAAAAUGUUGAGGCUAGACAAGAGCUAUACUUGUUAUAAGCAAAGAUAUAGCUCUCACGUAUAAAGGCCUUCUCAAGAAAAAAAAAAACAUGGCUUUCGCGGUUAAACCUUUUGGCCCCUUCAUCACAACCAAAUCGCAAGUUUUUUUUGAAAGGGCUUAAGAACAUAUAUUAAGCAUCACAUAUACUUACAAACACACGUUAGCCAAAAAACAACAUUACAUUUAAAAUCCUGAGUGCUCCGGAGCUCCUUUAGCCCCAAGUAGCAUACGGGCGCUCGCACGCGUGGCUAGAUAGGUCGCAGCUCAAUAGUAUAUUUGCGCUCGUCUUGUGCUUGUCGCUCUCGUGAAGCACCCAUCGCUCCAUCCGCCAAUGUGGAAAGUUGACAGUUAACCAACGAUGGUUGACUUGGAUGUUAAUAGUUGAAUUUUUAUAAAAGGAUUGUGAACACUUAAAAGUGCAUGAAAAGAAAAUAAGAAUUAAAAAAAUUCAUGAAAUCAAAAAAUGUCAUAUUCAAAAAUUUCAUGAAAAUAUUCACAUAUUUUUAAAAUGUUUGUGAAUAUGAAAUAAACUUCAUGAAUUUUAAAAAGUUCACACAUUUGGAAAAAAUGUUUCAAGAAAUGGGAAUAGUUUGCAAAAUUUUAAAAAGUUUUAUGGAUUUUAAAAAACAUGAAUUCAUAAAAGUUCAUCAAUUUGAAAUUUGUUCGUAAUUUUCAAAAAGUUCAUCAGAAUUUAAAAAAUCAAGAAAAUUAUUAUAAAAAUGAAAAGCUAAGGGAAAUAAAUUAGAAAAAUGAAAAAGAGAAAAUCUAAAAAAUCGACACAAAGAAAAAAAAACAAUGAAGCACACAAACCAGAGAACCCAUCCCUAAAAACCGGAGGGAACCUUCCUAAAAACCGAUGAUGGGAGAGACACUUUGGGCCAGUGCAGCUAUGCCACGAAGAGAAUCAGAGAUGGCGCUAGUUAUAGAUAACCAACAAACUGACGCCUGAAGCACUAAGGAGGAUUUGCCUAAAAUCCUUGGGUGUCGAAGUCUUCUACCUCCUACAUCAACUAGCGACGGUGCCCUGGAUUAGGGGGCAGGGGGUACUCACCACGUUGGUCAAUCCUUCAUGGGUCGGGCUGAUGUCUACUACGCAACUUUAUUCUUGUAGACUCGUGUUGGGCCUCCAAGCGCAGAGUUUUGUAAGACAGUAGCAAUUUUCCCUCAAGUGGAUGACCUAAGGUUUAUCAAUCCGUGGGAGGUGUAGGAUGAAGAUGGUCUCUCUCGAACAACCCUGCAACCAAAUACAAGAAAUCUCUUGUGUCCCCAACACACCCAAUACAAUGACAAAUUUUAUAGGUGCACUAGUUCGGCGAAGAGAUGGUGAUAAAAAUGUAAUAUUGAUGGUAGAAAUAUAUUUUUAUAAUCUGAAUAAAUAAAAACAGCAAGGUAGCAAAUAGUAAACGGGCACAAAAACGGUAUUGCAAUGCUUGAAAACAAGGCCUAGGGUCCGUACUUUCGCUAGUGCAAUCUCUCAACAAUGCUAACAUAGUUGGAUCAUAUGAUUAUGCCUCAAAGUGCAGCAAAGAAUCACUCCCGAGUUCCUAUUAGCGGAGAACAAAAGAUAGAAAUUGUUUGUAGGGUAAGAGACCACCUCAAAGCUAUUCUUUCCGAUCAAUCAAUCCUAGAGGUCGUACUAGAAUAACGCAAGGUAUUCUUCCUGAUCGAUCUAAUCAAGAGUUCGUACUAGAUAACACCAAAGCAAAUUCAUAUUCAUAAUACUCAGUCCAAACAAAGAACUACAAGGAGACCCAAAGUUUCUAUCGGAAAAGAUAAUAAGAACGUGCAUCAACUCCUAUGCAUAGAUUACCCCAAUAUCACCGCGGGAAUCCGCGAGUUGAAUGCCAUAACACAUAUCAAGUGAAUCAAUAUGAUACCCCAUUUGUCACCUCAAGUAUUCAUAUUGCAAGACAUACAUCAUGUGUUCUCAUCUCUAAAUAUUCAAUCCGACAAUACAAACUUCAAAGGCUAAAGACUCAAUUCAUCAUAACAAGAGUAUAACAGGGAGAAACAUCACAUGAUCCGACUAUAUUAACAAAGCCCAUGAUAUAGAUCACGAGAGAGAGAGAUUAAACACAUAGCUACUGGUACAAACCCUCAGCCCCGAGGGUGGACUACUCCCUCCUCAUCGUGGUGGCCGUCGGGAUGAUGAAGAUGGCCAUCGGAGAUGAUUCCCCCCUCCGGCAGGGUGCCGGAACGGUUCUAGAUUGGUUUUCGGUGGCUACAGAGCCUUGCGGUGGCGGAACUUCUGAUCUAGGUUAAUCCCGAAGGGUUUCGGAAUAUUUGGAAAUUUAUAGUGCAAAGAGGGGGUGCGGGAGGCAACGGAGGUGGGCACAACCCACCUGGGCACGCCAGGGGGGCCUGGCACGCCCUGGUGGUUUGUGCCCCCCUCGGGGAACCCCCCAGGUGCAGAUCUGGCCCAAAAAAAUUUCCAAAAAGUUUCGCGUUGUUUGGACUCCGUUUGAUAUUGAUUUCCUGCAAUGUAAAAAACAAGCAAAAAACAGCAACUCGCACUGGGCAAUGGGUCAAUAGGUUAGUCCCAAAAAAUGAUAUAAAGUUGCUAUAAAAUGAUUGCAAAACACCCAAGAAUGAUAAAAUAAUAGCAUGAAUACUUCAUAAAUUAUAGAUACGUUGGAGACGUAUCACGGGCCUGAAGGAAAUAUGCCCUAGAGGCAAUAAUAAAGUUGUUAUUUAUAUUUCCUUAUAUCAUGAUAAAUGUUUAUUAUUCAUGCUAGAAUUGUAUUAACCGGAAACUUAGUACAUGUGUGAAUACAUAGACAAACAGAGUGUCCCUAGUAUGCCUCUACUUGACUAGUUCGUUAACCAAAGAUGGUUAAGUUUCCUAACCAUAGACAUGUGUUGUCAUUUGAUGAACGGAAUCACAUCAUUAGAGAAUGAUGUGAUGGACAAGACCCAUCCGUUAGCUUAGCAUAAUGAUCGUUUAGUUUUAUUGCUAUUUCUUUCUUCAUGACUUAUACAUAUUCCUCUGACUAUGAGAUUAUGCAACUCCCUGUAGAAUUGUAUUGAAUAAUUGUUGAUGCAAUAUUGUGCCAGUACAAGAGGUAUAUAUAAGAGCCAAGCCGCACCUGACCUAGCCCUAUUACAAACCGAGUAGGAGUCCUAAUCCUAUUACAAGUUGUAUUCUAACAUCCCCCCGCAGUGUCAACGGUAGGCUCGACGACGUUGAGACUGAAACGAAUGUCUUGAAAUGGAGUAGUCGCCAGGCCUUUAGUAAAGAUAUCAGCGAACUGAGCAGAAGUAGGCACGUGGAGAACGCGAACUUGACCGAGAGCCACCUUCUCUCGAACAAAAUGAAUGUCGAUCUCAAUAUGCUUGGUGCGACGGUGUUUAACCGGAUUCCCUGACAUGUAGACAGCUGAAAUAUUAUCACAAUAAACAAUGGUAGCUUGCUCAAUAGGAUGGUGCAGCUCCGAUAGCAACUGGCGCAACCAAACCGUUUCAGCAACCGCGUGAGCCACAUCGCGGUACUCAGCUUCAGCAGACGAGCGGGAGACCGUAACCUGCCUUUUUGAAGACCAAGAAACCAAAUUGUUACCAAGAAAAACACAAAAUUUGGAUGUGGACCUACGAGUAUCUGGACAACCAGCCCAGUCUGCAUCAGAGUAAGCUGCCAAGGAGGUGGGAGAGGAUUUGUUGAUAUGAAGACCUAAGUCUAGUGUGCCUUUGAGAUAUCGAAGAAUACGUUUGACAUGAUUGUAGUGUGGAAUACGAGGAUCAUGCAUGUAUAAACAAGCUUGUUGGACAACAAAAGAAAUUUCAGGACGAGUGAGAGUAAGAUACUUAAGUGCACCGGUAAGACUACGAUAAAGAGAAGGAUCAGAGAAAGGAUCACCAUCGGCAGAGAGUUUGGAACCUGUAUCAACAGGGGUACGAGAAGUUUGACAAUCAAGCAUACCAGCACGAGAAAGAAGAUCCAGAGUGUACUGACGUUGAGACACGAAAAGACCAGAGGAGUCACGGAUAACAACAAUACCUAAGAAGUGGUGAAGAAGACCUAAAUAUAUCAUAGAGAAUUCAUGGCGAAGAAGAGAGAUAAUAUGAUCUAAAAAUUGUUUUGAGGAAGCUGUGAGGAUAAUAUCAUCAACAUAUAAAAGAAGGUAAGCAGUGUUGUUGUUGUGAUGAAAGGUGAAGAGUGAAGUGUCAGAACGGAAAGGGGUAAAACCAAUGGUUUGAGCAUAAGUAGAAAAACGUUGGAACCAGGCACGUGGUGCUUGUUUAAGACCAUAAAGAGAUUUUUGAAGAAGACAAACAUGAUUAGGAUAGGAGGAAUGUUCGAAGCCAAGAGGUUGUUGACAAUAGACUGUUCUAGAAGAGAGCCAUGAAGGAAAGCAUUUUUUGACAUCUAGUUGAUGAAUUGGCCAGGAAGAAGAGACGGCGAUGCUAAGGACAAUGCGGAUAGUGUUGGGCUUGACAACUGGAGAGAAAGUCUCAUCAUAAUCGAUGCCGUGUUGCUGAGAGUAACCACGACAUACCCAUCGAGCCUUAUAACGUGCAAGACUCCCAUCAGAAUUAAAUUUAUGGCGAAAAACCCAUUUGCGCAAAACGAUAUUUGUAUUGGAAGGACAAGGAACUAACUGCCACGUGUUAUUCUGCAGAAGGGCAUCAUAUUCAUCUUUCAUAGCUGCGACCCAAUUAGGAUCUAGGAGAGCUGAUUUGUAAGAUGUGGGUACACAGGAAGGAGAUAAAGAUGCAUGAAGAUUGAGACGAUCUUUUGUAGGUAAACGAAACCCAGACUUGGCACGUGUGCACAUGGUAUGAUCGUUAGUAGGAGCUGGAACAGGAAUAGCAUGAGCAGGAGGGGUGGGGGAAGAUAUGGUGGACGCGUCCGGCGCAGUGGAGGAAGCGGACGCAGGGGAUGGUGGUGAAGACUGCGGCUGCAGGAGGUCCGCCGCGUCAGAGUGUAAUGUGUAUUCCUCUGCCGGGACAGAGGUGAUGACAAAAGUGGUGGCGGCAGGAUCUGCUACUGCGGCUGGUUUCGCUGGAUUGGUCGGCGGGUGAAAGAAGGGAAGAUGAUUGCGACGAGAGGGACUAGUGGUCGGCGCGGGUGAGUUGGAAUCUAAUUGUUGAUGCUCGGAAAAGGGAAAAAUGUUUUCAGCAAAUGUUACAUGAUGAGACACAUGAACACGUCCACUAACAAGAUCUAGACAACGAUAACCCUUGUGCUCAUCAGAAAAACCUAGAUGGACACACGGGAUAGAGCGCGGGGAAAGUUUGUUAGGAGAAGUGGAGUAGGAGUUUGGAAAACAAAGACAACCGAAGACGUGAAUGUCGGAGUAAUUUGGAUGAGAGAGAAAUAAAGAGAAGUAAGGAGUAGUUUGUGGGUUAACUUUAGACAGACUGAAAGUGCUAGUUAUCGACUAGAGGGGGGGGGGGUGAAUAGGUGAUUUUUAUGAACGUCUUCAAAACAUGAUAGUUUCAAAGACAAACGAUAGAAAUGAACCUAUUGAUAUGCAUCGGAAGGUAGACUACACUAAGCAAGCCAUAGUCAAGUAUGCAAUGAAGUGAAAGCACGAAGACUAAUAGCAGCUAGGUAGUAAAGAUCAGGAUGGAAGACAGUAUGAAGCCAAACAACAAUAGUAGUCACGCAGUGAAGUCAAACAGGUAAUGCAAUCAGGCAAUGACUUCACGAAGACAAACUGUAAGUAAAGAGAGGGAGAGGAUAGAACCAGUCACUUGUUGAGGACACAUGAUUUGUUGGACCAGUUCCAGUUCCUGUGACAACUGUAUGUCUGGUUAGGGAGGCUGAGAUUCAACUCAGAAGACCGCGUCUUCACCUUAUUCCCCUUGAGCUAAGGACACCCAGUCCUCGCCCAAUCACUCUGGUAAGUCUUCAAGGUAGACUUCCAAACCUUCACAGGCUUCGUUCACCGGCGAUCCACAAUGACUCUUGGAUGCUCAGAACGCGACGCCUAACCGGCUGGAGGAUUCACAGUCCUCAAGUGUAACAAGUCUUCAGGUCACGCGGACAGAAAGACUUCAAUGAUGCCUAACACUCUUUGGCUCUGGGUGUUUGGGCUUUGUCCUCGCAAGGAUUUCUCUCUCUCAAAAGCUUCGGAGGUGGGUUGCUCUCAAACGACAAAAGCCGUGCACUAACUCUAAGCAGCCACCAAUUUAUGGUGUAGGGGGUGGGCUAUUUAUAGCCACUAGGCAACCCGACCUGAUUUGUCCGAAAUGACCCAGGGUCACUAAGGAGCUGACACAUGUUCCAACGGUCAGAUUUCAAACACACGCGGCAACUUUACUUGGGCUACAAGUAAAGCUGACUCAUCCAGCUCUGGAUAAGAUUUGCUCUCAUUGUCUUCGCUCGAAGACAUAGGAUUUUGGUUGAGCAUCACUUCAGUCACUCUGACUUUGUUCACUGCGACCCCACUUAAUAGUACGGUGGUUCCUACGACUCAACAAAGAAGAAAAGGAAACAACAAAACAACUAAGUCUUCGCGCUCCAUAGUCUUCACGCAAUGCCUUCUCUUGUCAUAGUCUUCAAUGUGAAUAUCUUCACAUACCACCAUUGUCUUCAAUGUCUUCAUAAAUUUUUAGGGGUCAUCUCCGGUAGGUAAACCGACUCAAUGAGGGACUACUACCUGUGUUAUCCUGCAAUUCUCACAAACACAUUAGUCCCUCAACCAGGUUUGUCGUCAAUACUCCAAAACCAACUAGGGGUGGCACUAGAUGCACUUACAAUCUCCCCCUUUUUGGUGAUUAAUGACAAACUGGUUGAAGUUUUCAACGGGGAUAAAAAUAUGUGAAAUUGUAAAGGAUUUAGGUAUUGUCUUCAUAAGUAGCAAAAGGCUCCCCCUGAAGAUGUGCAUAUAAGUAAUUUGCUUUUGGAAUGCAAAUGCACAUGGCAGGUUGUACUUGUGGAGAUCCUCUUCAACUUAUGAAGACAAUUCAUCAUGCAUGAUUUGAUAUAACAAAGAUAAUGACAUGCACAAUGAAAAAUGGACGUCUGCAAAAAUGACUAAGUGCGGAAUUUAUCCUCGCACAUGCGGAAUUUAUCAUCGCAUCACAGAAUAGCAGAAAACGUAGCAGACGACCAUCAAGUUUAAGUGUUACAACUCAAAGAACCAAAUGUAUCAAAAGCGAGAGUUGUAAACAGUAGGCAAAAUAUAAAGCAACCGCCCAUAUGGACCCGCUUGAAGACUAUCAACUCAUAUGCUUCUCCCCCUUUUGUCAGUAAGGACCAAAAAGGUUUGAAGACAUAGAGCCUCUACUCGUUCCCAGAAGGAGUAGGAGAAGAUGCAGGGUCGGCGUCGGGGUUUGGCGGUGCAGACGAAUUUGGUGCAGUGUCGAUACGUGCUGAAGUUGGAGGUGGUGAAGUAGCAUCAUCUUGAUCAUCGAUCACUCUUGCAUUCACCGUUGCAGCGGAGGAGGAAUAAUCAGAUUCUUCAAGAGACGGAGUUCGACGCAAGACAACAUUCCUUGGAGGAGUGGAGUCAAACUUGAAUCUUUCAGUGAAGCCAUCGUCUUGAAGAUCUGCUUCGGCACUCAGCAAUGUCAAACUCUUCCAUGACCUCCGACAGGUUUCAUGAGUAACAAAGGCAUUCUUGGUGGCAAGAUUGCGAAUGCGAUUGACGUCCACCAAGAGGCUUCGCAUCUGAUGCUUCAGCCAGAAGUGAUGCUUAUCCUGUUUCUGAUGCAGGGCAACGAGAAGUUCUUGGUCAUUGAGAACACGAGAUCGCUUCCGAGGCCUUUGAGCAAUAGUGCUUUCAGUGGCUUCAGUUUGAGCACGGUGAGGUAAGCGUGUAUUUCCAGCCAAAGGAUAAACACGAGUGACUGCCUGGACUCCUUCAAUGGGUUGCGUGAAGCUUUGGUGAUCAGCAUUGUGAAGACAAACAGGCUCCUUGGCAGGCUCUGGGUAUAUGGCUUCAACUGACAUAUCAACCUCUGGCAGAAAGAUCAGAUGGUUGCGAGCAGAGGGCUGAUAGUUGACAGCUGAGUGUAGCUUCAUGAGGCGCAUGACCCAUGGAGCGUAGAACUUCAGUCCAAAGAGAUCAGAGCCUGAUGCAGCCAACUGCCUGAUAAAGAAGCCUUGAGCAUUGAAGCUGAUGCCGUUGAAGAUAUAAAAGACCAAAGUCUUCAUUGCUCCUUCAAGUUUUGCUGCUGAUGAAUGUCCUUUGACAGGCCAUAGAGUUCGCCUGAUGAUGUGAUAAAUAGUGCGGGGCAGAUACUCUAGGUCUUCAACAAAGAACUCCUUUGGGUAAUCAGCGUGAUGUGGCAGAGGCUUCAUCAUGCUCAGCAUUUGGCUCAUGUUGGGCUCUGGCUUAUGGAAGAUACUCUCCAAAGCAUUGCGGUGAAGCUGACAACCAGGUUCAUAUAAUUCUCCUGAGUGGGCAGGCCGGUUAGCUCAAUGAUGUCAAAAGCUUUGGCUUCAUGAUGGACAUUGCCUCUCAUCCACUCAAGGACCCAAGUCUUCGGAUCCCUGUUGUAUCCGCGAAUGUGGAGGGUAGCAUAGAAUUGAAGCAGAAGUUCUUCAUUCCAAUGCUCCUUAUCAGUCACAAAGUUUAGCAAACCAGCAUCACGGAAGCAGUCAAGGGCUUCUUCAAGGCAUGGCAAUCCAGCAAUGGCUUCGCAGUCAAGACGCAUAUGAGGAAAGAUGCACCCUUGAUCGUAAAGAACACAUGAAUAAUAACUGCGCUGUUGAUAGCUCCAGAACCGAUCUGAUGAAAUCCUUGGCUUGGAAUAGGGGUUCUUGGCACUAUCAAAGAAAGUGUUGUGCGCAAUGAAGCCAAUAGCAUUGAAGGACCCUGGUGAAGUGGCAGUACCUGGAAACCUGGGCAGUCUUGGCUUUGGCUUCUGGACCUGUGGCCUAUGCUCGACAUGAUAGUCAAAUUGCGGACCAGCAGCAGGAGGAGGAACCAGAAUAGGCCAUCUGACAGUGACCAGCCGAUCAUAGUUGUAUGCUUGCUCAAUAGUAUGUGCCCUGGGAGGCGGUACAGGAGCAGUGGCAGUGGCAGUGACUUCAGGCUGCUGAUUUGCAUCAGGUGCAGCAUUGACUUCAGGUGCUAUCACUUCGGGCACCACAUUGACUUCAGGCGCCACAUUAGCUUCAGCCAUGACAACGUCAUUGGCUUGAGUGUUGGUGUUGGUGGCCGCCUCAAUGUUGUUAGCCUCCACUUGAGUAGCUGGAGGGUUAGACAUGUUCUCCUCAAGAACAACUUGGUUGGUAGGGGGUGUAGCAACACGUGCUUCUUCUCCUCUUGGUUCUUCUUGGGCAUCGGCUGAUGCAGCCGAAAUAUCUUCAGCCAUGUUGGCUUCAGUCUCGGGGUUGUUCACGGUUGGAGAGGCUUCAGGAAAGACUUGGCGUGAAAUGGAUUGGCGCACUUCUCCUUCUGGAACACUUGAACACUUGACAGAGUGACCUGUGGCCUUGGUCCUUUGCGAAGCCUGCGAAACACUGGUGACGCUUGUGGAGAUGGAGUUGGUUGGGCCACAAAGUAUUCAUCUUCAAUCACCGAAGUGGUGACCUGUGUUGGGGGAGUAACUGGUGUUUCUUCUUGACGGGGGGAUUCUUGUGGGUGAUCAGCCCAUGAGUCAUCCUGAGCAAUUGGCGUCAAUAGACGACCAAUGCUGAUGAGUUCGCUGUUUGUUGUGCUCGAUCUGAGGAAGGACUUCAUCAUCUUCAACAUUGUCUUGAUGACCAAUGUCUUCAGCUGCGGUGGGGUCAACAGCUGGAAUGUCUUCAGCCUCAGGAGCCUCUGUGGAAGCAGGCUCAUGAACUAUCAUUCGACGUUCUUGUUGUGCAGAUUCAGGACGAGCAACAGAAAUUGGCUCGACUACAAGGGGCUCUGUGGGAGCAGCCCGAUCUCUCUUCUUGGUCUUGCGCUUCUUGGUGGGUGGAGCAUCAUCAGUGGUGUUCUUGGUCUUGCGCUUUCUGGCCUUGGCUUCAGCUGCCCUUGUCUUCUGAAGCUCUGAAGCCACUGUGGGGACCUUAGGCUUCACGCCUGUCAUACUAGCGGGGAAGACAAUGCGAGGUUCUUCCCGCCUGGAUGGUUCAGUGUGGUCCACAGAUGGCUUCUUCUUCUGCUUGGCAGCCAUCUUAGGGUCGAUGCCAGGAUGCCCAAGUGCCUUGUGCUUCUCAGCUUCAUUGUAAGCUUGAACACACUUGGCAGCAAGAAUCUUCAUGCGCUCACGAGAACCUUUGGCUUCAUCACGUUUCUUGUGAAACGCUUCCUUGAGCUCAUGCAGCAUGACCUUGAAGUUUUGGACGUCUGCCACGCUGAGCUUGGCCAUGUGCUUCUUGAACUGAGCCUUCUCAUAAUCAAUCUUGUGCUUCAGCUCAACAAUUUUCUGAGCAAGAGCCAGCUCAGGAGCAAUGGCGCCAUGGAAGGAGACGCUUAGGCCAAUGGGAAGUUGCAGAUCGUCAAAGCUGAGAUUGGGGGUGUCAAACCACUCAUCAAUGAAGUUGUUCAAUACUUCCACGUCAAAGAGAGGCAAAUCAUUGAAGAUUUCCGCCUCUUGCUUGCUCUUUACCAGCUGCUCAAGAGCGUCAUCAGCAAGAUCGUCGUCACUUGACAGAUCAAUGGCGUCAUUCUCGUUCCUCAGAACAGCAGCAGGGGUCAGAACUGGACCAGUGGUGUGCAUAGGCUUCUUGUUCUUCUUCUCAGUCUUGGAGAUGCGUGAGAGAUCUUCAGACUGCACACUUGGUGCAGGAGGAGCAGUGACCAGAGGCUUUACUCGCGAAGCUUUUGGUGCAGGGGAAGGCUUCGAAGCUUUAGGUUUCUUCAGCUUCUUUGGCUUCGGUGGUGCAGGCGCUUCGUCAGAAUCAGCGUUGUCUGCAGGCUCAUCCACGGCUGUCCCUUGAACCAUAAUUUGAGUGAUGAGACCCUCUAGGUUGUAGAAGGGCCCAACAAGAUUGGGUUCAGCUUCGCGUGUGCCAUCGGCACGAGGAGCAGAGGGGCCUAGAUUGAAGUCUAAUCCCCGCGACUUCUUGUUUUCUUUGGCAGAGUUCUUGCCAAACUGGAAGUUGCGCUUGAAUAGAUUGUCGUCACGACACCAUAGCAAUGAAGAUGGGUCGGCGUCUUCUGGCUGUGGUCCGCGGACCAUGCAAGGGUAGAAGCCUUGUUUAAUGGCUUCAGCUCUGGACCUGGGUGGAAGAUUUUUGUACAAAAUGUCUCCCCAUGGUCGCUUGAUGGCAUUCUUCUCAGCAUAUUCUUGGGUCAUGAACCUGUACUUGUACCAUUGUUCUGCCCAAUAUCUUCGAAUCCAUUGGAUUUGGGUUUUUCGCUGAUUGUAGUCCUCCUCUGGAUCUGUCUUGUACAGCUCAUAGAGGUCAGGAGGCAAAUCUCUUGAGGUUUUCCCACGGCGCUGUCUGCCACCCUUCCUUGCAGACUUCUCUGUUGCCAUGAAGUUCAGACUGAAUGGCUUCAACACUGUCAAGGGCUUCCGUCUGCUGGUCAGACAGGAACUGGCUUCGGGAGAGUUGAUGUGAUGCUGUAAGAAUUCUGCAAAUGGAUGCAGACUAUGAGAACCAAGGGAUUCUCCCACGGACAUGUACCUGUGACAGCAUUAGAGAUGCGAGGGAAGGGGAAGCGGUCAUAUGCAUUCUCAGAAGAUUUUGAAGAUAAAUCAGUUUAGAAGACAUUGACCUCAUAGCGCGAAGACAUUCACUUAUAUGUUGAGAGUUGGUUCUAGAUUUGUACGAAUCCAAGAAUAAGUACAAGUGAGGAAUCUAACUAUGUGUGAAGCAUAAGUGAAUAUACUAGGCAUUAUAUGAGAUGCAGACAGGAUAGAUCCAAAUUUGUGGAGGCAGAAACCACUUUUGGUAGAAAGGAUGAAUCUAUAGGAUCAAAAAGACGGUAAAAAGAGGGUUUUAAUUUACCACACGAUGAACUGCUAGACGGAGUAGAAGAUGAGGCCGAGCAGUUCGAUCUUCCGUGCCCUAACUUGGCGACGGAGGACACCUACAGCGGCGGCGGAGAAGACGAUGUCCGCGACCGGCGUGAAGACGGCGUCGGAGAGGUCGCGGCAGCUAAGCGCUUCGUCGCCGGCGUCGUCGAGAGCUAGCGGUGGCGUAGGGUUUGUCGAGGUGGAAGAAGGAUUUUGACCGCGAUUGGACAGGUAUUUAUAGGGAAAGGGGACAGCACAUCGCAAUUACACAGGUGCCCCUGGUGGUUCACAUCUGAGGGACACGUGGCGAACAUGCAACACAUUUGGAGUUGUCCCACGUUCCCACGCCCGCCUGGACUGUCGGAUGGUCGUUCCGGCUUCUCCGGGUUUCAGGCAAUAAGAGUUGAACAUUUAAAACAGAUUUAAUGUUUGUCUCUGUAUCUUCUGCCGACAAGGACACAGAGAAGACAUUCAACAGUUUCAACAGAAUGCAUAUGAUUUGGAUAGACAGAGUUUGAGGUAGGAAGCAUAGAGAGGUUAGGGUCCGAUCACAUUCACUUAGUUCAAAAGAUUCAAACGAGAAGACAUAGCUAUAAGUGAAUGCUAUAGAGGACAGAACACUAAUAUAUGUCUAUAUCAGAAUGCAACCAAAUCAACAUAGUGAAGAUAAUCAUGAAGACAAGUUGAAAUUGAAGACAAACCAAAUGCGAAGACAUAGCAAAUGUAACGCCAUGAGAAAAACACUUCAAACAGAAGAAUUUGGUGGUGGCGUUACCCACCGUAUAGGAAGUAUUAGACCCAGACACGGCGCACAAUUAUCGUGGUGCUCCGAAGUCAAAUUCCGUGUUAAUGUAUUCACACCUAGAAUGUAAGUCUUCAUUGAUUGAAGAUAUACUUUACUUCAUGUGUUGCACAUCUAAGUCAUCAACAUGCAUAAGUGUUAGGAUGAGUGCCUGAUCACAGGACAUUUGAGGAUUCCAAGAUAUUUAGCUCACACCGUAACUUGCAAAACCUUUUCUCAUCCAAGGGCUUUGUGAAGAUAUCUGCCAGUUGCUCUUCAGUGUUGACGUGUAUGAUAUCAAUAUCUUCCUUCAUGACAUGAUCACUGAGAAAGUGAUGACGAAUUUCAAUAUGGCUUGCUUCGAGUGCUGAACUGGGUUGUUGGCAAUCUUGAUGGCACUUUCGUUGUCGCAAUAGAGUGGUACUUGUUCAGAUGGAUGCCAUAGUCCUUGAGUGUUUGCUUCAUCCAUAGAAGCUGAGCGCAGCAAGAUCCAACAGCAAUGUAUUCAGAUUCAGCAGUGGAGAGUGAUACACAGUUCUGCUUCUUUGAAGACCAACAGACAAGUGAUCAUCCCAGAAAGUGGCAUGUGCCUGAUGUAGACUUGCGAUCCACCUUGUCACCAGCAUAAUCAGCAUCCGAGAAUCCAACUAGAUAAACUCUGAGCCCUUUGGAUACCAUAAUCCUAAUGUUGGGGUGUAAGCCAAAUAUCGAAGAAUUCGCUUCACAGCUAAGUGAUGCGAUUCCUUUGGUGCCGCUUGGAAUCGAGCACACAUGCAAACACUAAGCAUAAUAUCUGGCCUAGAUGCACAUAAAUAAAGUAAAGAACCAAUCAUGGAGCGGUAUACCUUUUGAUCGAACUCUUUACCAUUGGCGUCAGGACCCAGAUGACUCUUGGUUGGCAUUGGCGUCGUGUAACCUUUGCAGUCUUGCAUUCCAAACUUCUUCAGGAAAUCUUUGAGGUAUUUCUCUUGAGAUAUGAAGAUGCCAUUUCUUUGCUGACGAAUUUGAAGACCAAGGAAGAACUUCAGCUCACCCAUCAUGGACAUCUGAUAUUGCUCUUGCAUCAUGUGUCCAAACUCAUCACUGUAUUUCUGGUUGGUGCAACCGAAGAUAAUGUCAUCCACAUAUAUUUGGCACACAAACAGUUCACCAUCAUAUGUCUUUGUGAAGAGUGUGGGAUCCAGGGAACCAGAUUUGAAGCCUUUGCUCUUCAGGAAGUCUUUGAGCGUGUCAUACCAAGCGCGAGGGGCUUGUUUGAGGCCAUACAGUGCCUUGUUUAGCUUGUACACCAUAUCAGGAUGUCUUGGAUCUUCAAAGCCAGGAGGUUGUGCGACAUACACUUCUUCAAUCUUGCCAUUGAGAAAUGCACUCUUCACAUCCAUUUGAUACAGCAAUAUGUUGUGAUGGUUUGCAUAGGCUAGCAAUAUGCGAAUAGCUUCAAGCCUAGCCACAGAAGCAAAUGUUUCAUCGAAGUCAAUCCCUUCAACUUGAGUGUAUCCUUGAGCAAUUAGACGAGCCUUGUUUCUGACAACUUGACCAUGCUCAUCUUGUUUGUUGCGAUAUAUCCAUUCUGUGCCUAUUAUGUUGUGCUUGCGGGGGUCAGGACGCUUGACAAGUUCCCAGACAUUGUUCAGCUUGAACUGUUGAAGCUCUUGUAGAGAAUUAUGUGCACCCAUGUAUAUCUGGAAUAAUCAUCAACAAUGACGAAGCCAUAGAGACAAGCAGUAGUAGUGAGAGUAGAGUAGUGAGUAGGGCCAAAUAAGUCCAUGUGUAGCAGCUCGAAGGGUUGAGAUGUCGUCAUGAUUGUCUUCGAGGGAUGCUUGGCCCUAGUCAUCUUUCCAGCUUCGUAGGCACCGCACAAGUGAUCCUUCUUGAACUUGACGCCCUCGAUGCCUAUGACAUGCUUCUUCUUUGCGAGAGUGUGCAAGUUCCUCAUGCCAGCAUGCCCUAGCCUCUGAUGCCAGAGCCAACACUCUGAAGCUUUUGCAAGAAGGCAUACGGCAAGCUAUGUCCCUGUUGAGAAAUCUACCAUGUAUAGAUCAUCUUUCCGGUACCCUUCAAAGACUAGAGACUUGUCAGAUUCCAUUAGUACAAGGCAACGAUAUUUUCCAAAUAUCACAAUCAUGUUCAAGUCACAAAGCAUUGAGACAGACAUUAAGUUGAAACCAAGGGAUUGAACAAGCAUCACUUUAUACAUGUGCUGAUCCUUUGAGAUUGCAACUCUACCUAGACCCAAUACCUUGCUUUUACCAGUGUCAGCAAAUGUGAUGUGACUCUUGUCAGAUGGACGUAAGGUUGAGUCCAUGAGAAAACUUCGAUCACCAGUCAUAUGAUUAGUGCAUCCGCUGUCCAUAAUCCAUUCUGAAGCAUGAGGUGUCAUACCCUACAGUACAGUUAGGGGGAUAGGCUUCACCAAGAGUAUUGUGAAGCAUAAACAUUUGACGGGCAAGAGGAUUAUCAAAGCUCAGAUCAAGAUUAGGACUGAUAGGAUGAUUGGCAAACGAUUCAGGAACAAAAUACAUAGUGAGACCAUUUGGGCAUUUGAUCUUGCGCCCUACAAGAUGUUUUAGGUCCCCAGCAAUAGCAUCAGACGCCUUUGAUUUCCGGCUGGAGACCUUUCCCUGCAAAAGAAAGUUAAUUCUUCUUAACCACCCACAUCUUUAGGGGUGGCUUAGUGUCGGAGUAAAUGACCACGGGUAGCCUAACCGACUCCCUCUGGCUCUUCAAAAAUUAUCGGGCCGAUUGAACCUUCAAGCACCCAAAGCACAGGGCCGCCUUCCCCUGGCCGGCUAUCUCACAGGCCAACUAUUGGAAGGCGGCCCGGCCCUGAAACCCUCCCGAAGAAAGCCACAAGAAGGCCGACUCCAAGAAGCCGGCCACAAGAAGACCGACUCCACGAUGCCGGCCACAAGAGGGCCGGCUCCCGGCAAGCGGCCAAGAUUGCACCCUCAAGGACUGCACCCACAUAACAGUGACGAGACGGGGCGUGGCUACAGUAAAGCCUGCCACCCCCGAAUCCCGGAGCACGCAUGGCCACAGUGCGCCGUACGGGUCGGCCAUCCCCCGUCCGGCGCGACACUGUUGCCAUGUUGACCAUGAUGCCACCCACGACAGGCUGUCAGUACGGCCCGCGGGCGGCGGGCCCUUCAGCCAGAGAGACGCUCGAAGGCGGCCAAGCCCCCCCAGUCGGCCUGGGGUGUAGCUGGCUCCCAAUAGCCGGCUACCUCACUCCCUCGAAGUAUGUGCAUCAUUAAGGAGACAAGACGAGGUAAGACUAUAGUGAGAGCCCGCCAGACGGCGACACUGUAGCCAUGCUUACCUCGGCAAAGCCCUCGUCAUCAGGGGCGAGGCUACAGUAACCAGCCGCCAGCAAGACCCCCAGGCGGUGGGGCCGGCCUGUCGGCCAAGAGGCCGGCAGCCGGCGGGACCCACCAGUCGGCGGGCCCCAGCGGCCGGCGGAGAAGCCGGCGGAUAUAGACACUGACGGCCUGGACCCGCAUCCAGCCGGAUUACCAUUGUACCCCUGGGGGGUAGGCCUAUAUAAACCCCCAGGGCACCCAUGCAAAGGGUUGAUCUCUUAGAGUUUUAGACACCACAUAGAGAGAAGAGGAGAGCUAGCCUUGCCCUUCUUCUUCCUCUAGCCGAACAGCUCAAGGAGCCACUUGUAGCCACUUGUGUUGAUCUAGUGAUCAUGCGGAGACCCCGCAGAGCAGGACUAGGGGUGUUAUCUCCACGGAGAGCCCCGAACCUGGGUAAGAUUUGCCGGCGUGCAUGUCUUCGCCUUAUCCCGUUUCCAGGCACCGGCGAUGUCUUACUGGCUCCCACAAUGAUAAGCCACCCGUUGGCAUAUGUCGCACCUACCAACCGACAUUUGGCGCCCACCGUGGGGCCAGGUGCACCGUCGUCCGGAGACCUGUUCUAGACGGGAACCCAUUUCCUUCCCAGCGAGCGUAGCCAGCCCGGCACGCCCGAUGGCGCUUGCCCCGACGCGCUGCAAGGCGUCGACGACGCCUGCGUGGCGAGCUGCCUCGCCGAUCUUCUUGGCAAGGCUCGCAUCUUCGACGAGCCUGCGUCCGACGCGGGCACAGACUGCCUCGAGAGCUGCCUCGUCAGCCUCCUCGAUUAGCUUCACGUCUCCAGCGAGCCUGCUGUGGAUUUGGAGUCGGUCGGCUCCACCGACCCGAUGCUUGUCCACUCCGACACGGCAUCGCUUGACGCCUUCCCCACCAACGUGGUGAUCAUCGACGACCCUUUUCCUCAAGCCGACAGUGGCGGCAACACUGUCACUCAGGUGCUGGUCAUCAGCCAUGGCGCCGCCUCAGGCGAGAACGCCCACGACGCCCUACAAGCGACGCUACACGACCUAUCCGCCCCCAUCCCGGCCGACGCCGACGCCGAGACACUGGAGGCACGCCGCCUCGCCCUCAUCGCGGAGGGCCAGAAGAUAGCAUCCAUGAGAUGCCUCACUGAGGCUCACCAGCGCAAAGUCGACCGCGCCGCCUUUGGUACGCCGCCUCCUGGCGGGCCGAGCCGAGCCGGCAUCGUCAAGAAGCGCGGCGCGGCCAACGCCAGCAUGCUGGGAGCAGACCGCCCAGUCUAUGCCACGCCACUCGAGAACCUGCGUGCCGCUCAGGCGGCCGUAGACGAGCUGAACGGGCUGGAGGCCGGUGAGCUCCCCUACAUGACUAGACACAUCCAGCAGCCGACUGACGCGGCCGCAGAGCGGCAUGAAGCCAGCGCCCGCGCUGAAAGUCCUCCCCCAAGCCGAGAGCACGGCGCAACAUUGUCACGACCGGUUUUUCAAUAAAACAAUUAUUGAGAGACCAAUCCCUCUUACGGACCAGUAAGGAAGAAUUCCUUCUCACUGGUAGACAAUAUCUUGGUCACAGAAGAAAAAUACCAGGAGUACUAAAUAUAAUACAAGGUUGAGCGGAGACUGCCCAACAAUUUAUUACAUGCACGCCUAUAAAACAAGACGGCGGAUAGGGUGGCAUAACUACUAACUCACGAUAAUAACGGUGGUGGAAAUAUCACCGCGAAGCGAGUGAUAUGACUCCUGAAGACUACAGCUCAUCGAGCAUCGGAGUGAGGCUCGAGGAGACUUAUUGCGGGUGGCGGAAGCGUAUAUAAAACAAGUGACCAAUAUCCGGGAUCGCACAGGACUGACUGGGACUCCUCUAGGCGUCGGACGCACUAUCAAACUCUUCAUCCAAAAGAUCGCCUUCGUCAACAUCUGGCCAAAUCAACAAGCCAGGUGAGUACUAUGAAAGUACUCGCAAGACAGUUCGGACAUAAGAUAUAACAAAUGUAAACAUGAAGCAUAUGAACAAGUUAACCAGUGCGUUCAGACAUAGAAAUAAUAAGUACUGGGUGCCAAGCGAGUGUCUGAAUGACUCCCCGAGAGGAAACUGCAAGAAUAGUAAUACUGGUGCCAAACGAGUGUCUGAAUGACUCCUCGAGAGGAAACUGCAAGAAUAGUAAUACUGGUGCCAAACGAGUGUCUGAAUGACUCCUCGAGAGGAAACUGCAAGAAUAGUAAUGCCACAGUCGGGCAUCGGGGAUACACCACAUAAAGGGCUUAUAACAGAAAAUAAAGGCAGUGCGUGCCACAGUCGGACGUCUGAGCGACAUCACAUAAAGGGCUUAUAUUUAAAGUAAGAAAACAAAAACACGCCACAGUCGGACGUCUGAGCGACAUCACAUAAAGGGCUUAUAUUGUAGCUUAAUAAUACAGUAGCUCGAGAAUAUAAAUUAUCACCAUUAUGAAACAGACAUAAGGUUAGUCCAUCCACAGGAAUAACAUUUAAAUAGGGUUUACCACUAAAGCUUGUUUGCCGGGAAUUUACUUCCACGAGGAUAGAUAUAGAUGUACCGAUUACUCUACUUGAUCAUGGACACGAUGACUUGGAAGGAAUUGACUCUGUAGAGUUUGUACUUAACCACAGCCAACGGAUUUCAGUAGUCACGGGGACUAGUUCCGUUUACGGUGUUUUGGAAGAAACACGUCUAACCAGUACACACCCAUUCAACAUUCCGAAGCCAGGGAUCACCCUCGGCAACGUUCAAGAAAAACCUUGAGACGGGGAUGCUACAACCUCGCGUGGCAUGGGAUCAAAUUUCUAUACGCGCGCUCUAAGGGGGUGCCCCCCCUCUCGGUCCCAACCGGAAACACCCAUGCCCCCUGACCGGAUGACUGGCUUUAAUCCUGGGCCAAGGAACCAUCAUCCCGGCCCCUCUGUUUGGUGUGUACAUGGAAAGAGGUUACCAACUUACUAAACCGCAUCCUGGCAAAUGAAGCAUGUGGCAGCAUGGAGGGGAAAAGAACGAUAACGUGACUCCGUCCACGUUAAUGUCGGAAUUCGUCGGAUGACGCAAGGCUGGUAUGCUACAACAGUACCACCUCGCUGCCCUUCAUGUCACCACAUGAUUAGGCCAUCUCUCAUCAGAGAUCAUCGCAACUUUGGAAAAAAACGGGUAGUUGCCUCGCAAGCAACGAGAUACUCACUGACACUCAUAUGCCACGCACAAACUGUCACGCAAACAUGCAAAACACCUAUCAUAUCAAAGGUUCAAACAUGCUUGCCUGGUUCGGAGAAGUCGGAGUCUAGCUCGGCGAAGUUCGCGGCUCCGUCACCUCUUCCGGAACCUACGGCAUAACGAAAACGGGUACUAACGUGAAAACCAACGCGUGCACAGAAACUUCUCCAAAAUUUUUCCAAAUAAAUCCCAUAAAAAACUAGACAAAAUUUUAAGAUUGUCAGAAAAAGAAUCACUCAAAAAUCCCUUUUUAUUAAAAAGUUAUGAAGGUUUCUGUCCAGGGACUUAUCUGUAAUGAAACAGAAAAGUUCCAGGGUUUAAACUGAGAAAACAGAAAAUGCUUCGGAAAGAAAUGCGCCAGCUAAAACGGAAAGCGUAUUUUGCCCGAAGGCGCCAACAGAAAACGGUUCGCGAGUGGAAACAGAAGAGAGGCUGACAGGGGGUCCCAUAUGUCAGGUUUAAAAAGCUUGCCGGCGCCCGAAGACUGUGGUGGACGCCGGCGUCGAACCACGGCGAGUCAGGAGGAUCGGAGGGUACCAAGAGCUUCAGCUUGUUCUUCCGCGUCGGUGGUGGUGGACUCGACCAACGGGGAGCACCACGUCGACGGCGGCACUUUCUCCGGCGGACGGCGGCUCGGGUGAUGGUGGGGAACUCCGGUGGAGGGCUGCAAACUUCGAAUUGAAGCGCGGGUCAGAAGGAGGGAUGCAUAGUGAAGCUACUGGCAAGAGAUGGGAGGCGGAGGUGCACGCACGGGGGCGAAUCGAGCUGGAUCCCAUGGCGGGUCGCGGCGGCCGGAGUUGAGGAAGGAGACCUCCUCGGGGCCCUUCCAGUGGCUAGGCGUGCUCUAGGUGGAGUGCAGGGAUGGUGUGUGCUCGAGUUGAAGCUGGGGGCCUCUAUUUAUAGGCGGAUCGACGGGGUGGCCGUGAACGGAGAAUCUCCGGCAAGCGAUUACGGCGAUGCAGUGGAUUGGCAGGAGGUUUGAGUGGCCAGGCAGCAUCAGUGGAAGAUACUGGCGCCAUUUCACUGCUAAACGGAGUUGGUCUUGGCGUAAUGGCGUCGGUCCACGGUGGGGUGGCCGCACGGGCACGUCGGCGGCAGAGAGCGCGCUCCGCGCCCUGCGGUUCACGACGAGAGUGGCAGCGCGUUCUGGGGAGUGGAAGGCCACGCGGCGAGCUCCGAUGGCUUAGGCGGCGUUGGGUGGCGCCGUCUGUGCCGCGCCUCCCGCUGGCGGCCGCAAAGCCGCCGCUGGCGUCGGUCACGGGGCGGCGCACCUUCUGCUGCUCGUCACCGACGUCCGCAAGGUGCCAGACGCUCGUGCGGUGCAGGAACAAGGGGGAGGGGACGGGGAGCAAGGCGACAUCGAGGCACUGUCGAGAUCGACAGCAAGGCGACUCGUAGGUAUACGGAAUCACCGGGUUCAAAGCUGACCUCACGAUGUUUUUGAUCGUAGUAGCUCUUUUGUCGGCUCUGCGCUGUCUUGAGUCUGUCCCUGAUCUGCUUAACUUUCUCCUCGGCCUCUUUAAGCAUGUCUGGGCCGAAGAUACGACUGUCACCUGUUUCUGACCAAUUUAGUGGGGUACGACACCUCCGUCCGUACAAUGCUUCAAAGGGUGCCAUUUGCAAGCUGGCUUGGUAACUGUUGUUGUAAGCAAACUCGGCAUAUGGUAAACUCUCUUCCCAACUGGACCCAUAGGUGAGCACACAGGCUCUCAGCAUAUCCUCUAGGAUUUGGUUCACACGUUCCGUUUGUCCAUCAGUCUGAGGGUGGUACGCUGUACUGAAAGCUAGCUGCGUGCCCAGAGCUUGUUGCAGGUGAUCCCAAAAUUUGGAGACAAAUUGUGUGCCUCGGUCGGAUAUUAUAGUCUUUGGGACUCCAUGCAAGCAAACUAUGCGGGAGAGAUAAAGCUUGGCCAGUCUUUGUGUGGAGUAGGUAGUCUUCAUGGGAAUGAAAUGAGCAACCUUGGUUAGUCGGUCUGUGAUGACCCAUAUGGCGUCAUUUCCGCGUUGUGAUCGGGGUAAUCCGACAAUGAAGUCCAUUCCUAUUUCAUCCCAUUUCCACUCCGGUAUCCUGUUUGGCUGGAGUAGCCCUGCUGGCUUUUGAUGCUCGGCCUUGAUGCGCUGACAUGAAUCGCAACAAGCAAUAAAUGUGGCUAUAUCUCUUUUCAUACCGUGCCACCAAAAUCUUUCCUGAAUGUCCUUGUACAUUUUGGUUCCUCCAGGGUGGAUCGAGUAUGGUGCGGUGUGGCUUUCGGUUAAGAUUUGUUGCUUGAGUUCCUCAAUGUUAGGUACGCAAAGUCUGUCUCCGUACCAUAAUGUUCCUUCACUGUCUGUGACGAACUCUGAAGCCUUACCAAGGUUCAUUUUCCUCUUUAUACCUUCGAUGCUGGGAUGUCCCUGUUGAGCCUUCUUAAUUUGUUCCACCAGGGUGGGUUGUAUCUCCAGAUUUGAUACGGUGCCCUCAGAGACUAACAUCAUGUUGAGUCUAGUGAACUCUUGCUGAAACUCAGGCCUCAAGUUUUGCGGACCGUCAUUGUCCGGGCUGGGGUUUCGACUAAGGGCAUCGGCUACUACAUUUGCUUUCCCUGGAUGGUAGUGAAUACCGACAUCAUAGUCCUUGACCAAUUCCAACCAGCGUCGUUGGCGUAAAUUUAGCUCUGGCUGUGUGAAAAUAUAUUUGAGGCUCUUAUGGUCUGUGUAUAUUUCACAGCGAUUUCCCAACAGAAAGUGCCUCCACUCCUUGAGUGCAUGUAUAACUGCUGCUAGCUCCAAGUCAUGUGUUGGGUAAUUUUCCUCAUGUUUUCGCAGUUGCCUGGAGGCAUACGCGACAACUUUGCCAUCCUGCAUCAGCACACACCCGAGACCUUUUCGGGAUGCGUCACAAUAUACUUCAAAACUCUUGUGUAUGUCUGGCACAGUUAAGACCAGUGCGGUUGUCAGCUUCUUCUUGAGUUCUUGGAAGCUUUUCUCGCAUGCUUCCGUCCAUACAAAUUUCUUGUCCUUCUUGAGCAACUGUGUUAUAGGUUUUGCCACAGUGGAGAACCCUUCAAUAAAUCUUCUGUAAUAUCCGGCCAUUCCUAGGAAACUCCGCACAUCUGUAACAUUGGCGGGUGGCUUCCAGUCAAGUAUGGAUUUUGACUUUUUUUGGGUCUACGGCCACGCCUUCUUGGUUCAAUAUAUGGCCUAAGAAACCAACUUGUCUUAGCCAAAAUUCGCACCUGCUAAAAUUGGCGUACAACUGAUGCUUUCUUAAUUCUCCCAAAACAAUUCUGAGGUGCUCAGCAUGCUCUUCUGGUGUCCUUGAGUAAACUUGAAUAUCGUCAAUGAAUACCACAACAAAUUUGUCCAUGAAUUUCAUAAACACUUUGUUCAUGAGGUGGACGAAAUAUGCGGGGGCGUUUGUUAGACCAAAAGGCAUCACUGUGAACUCAUAUAAUCCGUAUCUGGAAGUGAAUGCUGUCUUGGGGAUAUCUUCUGUCCGUACUUUCAGUUGAUGAUAUCCCGAUCUCAAAUCAAUUUUUGAGAAUACCUUGGCUUGUGCGAGCUGGUCAAACAAAUCAUUUAUCCGUGGCAUCGGAUAUUUGUUUUUGAUGGUGACCAUAUUGAGGGCUCGAUAGUCUAUACACAGUCUCAUCGUCCCAUCCUUUUUCUUGGCGAACAACACUGGCGAACCCCAGGGUGAGGAGCUGGCUCGAAUAAAUUCUUUGUCCAAUAAUUCCUUUAUCUGCUUCUUCAACUCCACCAAUUCUGAGGGUGCCAUUCUAUAAGGCUUCUUAUAGAUGGGUGCGGUGCCAGGUGCUAGUUCGAUGCUGAAUUCUAUCUCUCGGUCUGGUGGCAUGCCUGGUAGUUCUUCAGGGAACACAUCAGGAAACUCGCAUACCACUGGAACUUUUCUCAGUUCUGCAAUGUCCAUUUUGUUCAGUUUUGGUUGCUGUGAUCGUGGCCUUUCUUGAGCGGAAACCCUUAUUGUCUUGCCGUGAUGGUGAGUGAGAAUCACUGUCCGAUUGAAACAGUCGAUGAAUCCUUUGUUGGUGGUCAACCAGUCCAUUCCUAAAAUGACAUCCAGUCCUUUACUCUCCAACACGAUGAGAUUUGCUUGGAACUGUAGUCCUUCGAACUCAAUGACCACUCCUUGGCAGUAACCCUGAGCGAUUUGCUUAUUUCCGGGGGACUUGAUGAUCAUAGAUUUUUCCAAGGGAAGUAUCGGAAAACCAUGUUGCAAAACAAAACUCUUCGAAACGAACGAAUGGGAAGCUCCAGAAUCAAACAAAACCGUGGCAGGUACUGUGUUGACAGGGAACGUACCGAGCACGAUGUCUGGGGCAUUCUGCGCUUCUUCCCUGGUCACAUGGUUCAGGUGACCCUUCUUGUGGUUGUUGUUGGGAUUGAAGUUGUUGCGCUUGGGGGCUGGAUUGUUUCCACCAUUGUUUGUCUUGGGAGCCGCGUUCCUCGGCUUUGGGCACUGUUUAGCAUAGUGCCCUUCUUCAGCACAAGCAUAGCAAGUGACCCCUGGACGGUACGUGAACUCUUUGUCCCUGGCAUGAAACUGUCCGACGGGCCUUGGAUCAGUAGUCGUGGAUCUCCUUGCUUCUGUCCUUGGAACCUCAGUCUUGCCUCGGUUGUUGCGAGCAAGAGUCGUUUUGUCCCUCUUUCGUUUACGGAUAUCUUCCAAACUACGGCGCUCAUUCUCCAAGGUAAUGGCCUUGUCAACCAGAGUCUUAAAAUCCGGAAAGGUGUGUACAAUCAGUUGGCAUCUUAGUGCUGGUGCCAGGCCGUCCAGGAAUUUUUCCAUCUUCUUAUUUUCUGUCAUGUGCUCGUCGUAGGCAUAACGAGACAGCUGGGUAAACUGACCAUUGUAUUCUGUCACUGACAUGCCUCUCUGCUUCAGGUCAUCAAACUCUCUCUUCUUGAUUUUUAUGAUGCUCCUGGGGAUGUGUGCCCCACGGAAGCCUUCCUUGAACUCUUCCCAGGUGAUGUUGUGUUCACUGGGAUGCAUGUGUAGGAAGUUUUCCCACCAUGCUGCAGCUGCUCCAGUAAGGUAGUGUGGUGCAUAAAGCACCUUCUCAUGAUCUGAACACUGAGCAAUAAUCAGUUUCCUUUCAAUGUCACGAAGCCAAUCAUCGGCUUCCAGCGGCCUAUCGGUGUGAGCAAAAGUUGAGGGGCGAGUCUUCUGUAACUCAGAUAACUUGGAAUGUGGUUGAUAGGGCUCACGGUGGUUUCCCAUAUUGAGGACAUGAUUCAUCAUCUCUUGGUGCUGUUGCUGGCUUUGCUCGAAGAGACGGCAUACUUGAGAUAGGGCUGCUUCGCUGUCUUGUUGACUGGACUGUCCCCGAGUGAAGUUGUUGCUAGUCUGUGUCCCAUAAACCUCUUCUGGCUGAUUGGGCAUGGAGCGAGUCCACGGGCGAGACAUUUUUUCCAGUCUGGGGUAUUAUUUUGCAAAAACCCAUGAGAAAAACUGUGUAGCACAAGUAAAAUCUUGCAAAGGCAACAAUUUAAAAGACUUCAAGGUUUUCAAAGAAACACAAACGAUUUUGCACGGAGAAGAACUUCUUAGCAUAUAUCUUACAUGCGAAAAGCAAACACACGAUACAGCACUCAGGAUGCGCGUACGCAUUCCUGACAUGUUAUUUAGGCUAGCGUACUCCUCCGGAAAGAAGCAAACACACCAAUACAAACUAGCGUACAGAUAAAACAACACAUCAUACAAGCAGACAUAACGCGCGGCUACUCGGCGCUCUUAGUCGGAGAUGGUGAAGAUUUCCUUCCCCUUGCCGAUGGCAAGACUCAGCGGUCCAGGAGAAUCAACCUCCACCUCCUCUCUAGCUGGCUCCUGGCGCGAAACGCUGCGCUGCGGUGAUGGUGCGGGAGCGACGGGUGGUAGAGCGGGUGCGGCAGGCGGUGCGGCUCUGACUGGAGUAGGAGCGAUGACUCGGUCGAACUCCUCAGUGGUAGGCAGACGGCGAGCAGUGGCCAAAACGGCCGGUGCAUAAGAGGCUGAAGACGAGACGAAAGUUAGAGGCGAUGCCGUGUUGAGAAGCUCCUUCUUGCUGGCAGGACCGCCCCGGACUAAGUCCAUGCGGGCAGCCACAAGAUCGUCCACGAGGUUGUCGAAAGACUCCUCCAGAGCCUUGAGAUACUCCACAACCAUCUCGGUGGCUUCAUCUCGCUCUCCCCGAUGGCAGGUGAAAGCAUAGUGACUAGUGUAUGGCACAUGGCAUGGGAGGUAGCGUUAGCGACGAGUCUUCAUCGUAGGAAGGAUGUCCCGAAGACGAGCUAUCGCCUCACGGGCGGCCAUCUGCAUGGCAUGCCUCUCCGUAGGCAUGGCCCUUCCCACAAAACGGAAGUGGCGAGCUGCAGAACGUCCUCCCUUGAAUUGCACCACAACUUGGUGCAUAGACAUGUCGUCGCUGAGCUUGUGCUGAUAUAGUGUGAACUCUGGGCGAGCUGCCGGCCCGAUCGCGAGCUUGGUGAUGGAGACGAGGAGCUUGACAAACCCCUCGGGCACGUUUGUGAACACUCGAUUCUCACAGCUGCUGCCAGCCAUCUACAAAAGUAGGCAAAAAUUCUGAGUAGUCAUGUCAUAAAUUUAUGAUGACCAACAGAAAAUAGCUACAAUUGCAAAAUGCUAAAAAAGCACAAAAGACGCUAAUAACCGAUUAGCGAUUGCACCUAGUGGCUUCCUACAGUCAGCCUGGCUCUGAUACCAAGCUUGUCACGACCGGUUUUUCAAUAAAAUAAUUAUUGAGAGACCAAUCCCUCUUACGGACCAGUAAGGAAGAAUUCCUUCUCACUGGUAGACAAUAUCUUGGUCACAGAAGAAAAAUACCAGGAGUACUAAAUAUAAUACAAGGUUGAGCGGAGACUGCCCAACAAUUUAUUACAUGCACGCCGAUAAAACAAGACGGCGGAUAGGGUGGCAUAACUACUAACUCACGAUAAUAACGGUGGUGGAAAUAUCACCGCGAAGCGAGUGAUAUGACUCCUGAAGACUACAGCUCAUUGAGCAUCGGAGUGAGGCUCGAGGAGACUUAUUGCAGGUGGCGGAAGCGUAUAUAAAACAAGUGACCAAUAUCCGGGAUCGUACAGGACUGACUGGGACUCCUCUAGGCGUCGGACGCGCUAUCAAACUCUUCAUCCAAAAGAUCGCCUCCGUCAACAUCUGGCCAAAUCAACAAGCCAGGUGAGUACUAUGAAAGUACUCGCAAGACAGUUCGGACAUAAGAUAUAACAAAUGUAAACAUGAAGCAUAUGAACAAGUUAACCAGUGCGUUCAGACAUAGAAAUAAUAAGUACUGGGUGCCAAGCGAGUGUCUGAAUGACUCCUCGAGAGGAAACUGCAAGCAUAGUAAUACUGGUGCCAAACGAGUGUCUGAAUGACUCCUCGAGAGGAAACUGCAAGAAUAGUAAUACUGGUGCCAAACGAGUGUCUGAAUGACUCCUCGAGAGGAAACUGCAAGAAUAGUAAUGCCACAGUCGGGCGUCGGGGCGACACCACAUAAAGGGCUUAUAACAGAAAAUAAAGGCAGUGCGUGCCACAGUCGGACGUCUGAGCAACAUCACAUAAAGGGCUUAUAUUUAAAGUAAGAAAACAAAAACACGCCACAGUCGGACGUCUGAGCGACAUCACAUAAAGGGCUUAUAUUGUAGCUUAAUAAUACAGUAGCUCGAGAAUAUAAAUUAUCACCAUUAUGAAACAAACAUAAGGUUAGUCCAUCCACAGGAAUAACAUUUAAAUAGGGUUUACCACUAAAGCUUGUUUGCCGGGAAUUUACUUCCACGAGGAUAGAUAUAGAUGUACCGAUUACUCUACUUGAUCAUGGACAGGAUGACUUGGAAGGAAUUGACUCUGCAGAGUUUGUACUUAACCACAGCCAACGGAUUUCAGUAGUCACGGGGACUAGUUCCGUUUACGGUGUUUUGGAAGAAACACGUCUAACCAGUACACACCCAUUCAACAUUCCUAAGCCAGGGAUCACCCUCGGCAACGUUCAAGAAAAACCUUGAGAGUGGGAGGCUACAACCUCGCGUAGCAUGGGAUCAAAUUUCUAUACGCGCGCUCUAAGGGGGUGCCCCCCUCUCGGUCCCAACCGGAAACACCCAUGCCCCCUGACCGGAUGACUGGCUUUAAUCCUGGGCCAAGGAACCAUCAUCCCGGCCCCACUGUUUGGUGUGUACAUGGAAAGAGGUUACCAACUUACUAAACCGCAUCCUGGCAAAUGAAGCAUGUGGCAGCAUGGAGGGGAAAAGAACGAUAACGUGACUCCGUCCACGUUAACGUCGGAAUUCGUCGGAUGAUGCAAGGCUGGUAUGCUACAACAGUACCACCUUGCUGCCCUUCAUGUCACCACAUGAUUAGGCCAUCUCUCAUCAGAGAUCAUCGCAACUUUGAAAAAAAAAACGGGUAGUUGCCUCGCAAGCAACGAGAUACUCACUGACACUCAUAUGCCACGCACAAACUGUCAUGCAAACAUGCAAAACACCUAUCAUAUCAAAGGUUCAAACAUGCUUGCCUGGUUCGGAGAAGUCGGAGUCUAGCUCGGCGAAGUUCGCGGCUCCGUCACCUCUUCCGGAACCUACGGCAUAACGAAAACGGGUACUAACAUGAAAACCAACGCGUGCACAGAAACUUCUCCAAACAUUUUCCAAAUAAAUCCCAUAAAAAACUAGACAAAAUUUUAAGAUUGUCAGAAAAAGAAUCACUCAAAAAUCCCUUUUUAUUAAAAAGUUAUGAAGGUUUCUGUCCAGGGACUUAUCUGUAAUGAAAUAGAAAAGUUCCAGGGUUUAAACUGAGAAAACAGAAAACGCUUCGGAAAGAAAUGCGCCAGCUAAAAGGGAAAGCGUAUUUUGCCCGAAGGCGCCAACAGAAAACGGUUCGCGAGUGGAAACAGAAGAGAGGCUGACAGGGGGUCCCACAUGUCAGGUUUAAAAAGCUCGCCGGCGCCCGAAGACUGCGGUGGACGCCGGCGUCGAACCGCGGCGAGUCAGGAGGAUCGGAGGGUACCAAGAGCUUCAGCUUGUUCUUCCGCGUCGGUGGGUGGUGGACUCGACCAACGGGGAGCACCACGUCGACGGCGACACUUUCUCCGGCGGACGGCGGCUCGGGUGAUGGUGGGGAACUCUGGUGGAGGGCUGCAAACUUCGAAUUGAAGCGCGGGUCAGAAGGAGGGAUGCAUAGUGAAGCUACUGGCAAGAGAUGGGAGGCGGAGGUGCACGCACGGGGGCGAAUCGAGCUGGAUCCCGUGGCGGGUCGCGGCGGCCGGAGUUGAGGAAGGAGACCUCCUCGGGGCCCUUCCAGUGGCUAGGCGUGCUCUAGGUGGAGUGCAGGGAUGGUGUGUGCUCGAGUUGAAGCUCGGGGCCUCUAUUUAUAGGCGGAUCGACGGGGUGGCCGUGAACGGAGAAUCUCCGGUGAGCGAUUAUGGUGAUGCAGUGGAUUGGCAGGAGGUUUGAGUGGCCAGGCAGCAUCAGUGGAAGCUACUGGCGCCAUUUCACUGCUAAACGGAGUUGGUCUUGGCGUAAUGGCGUCGGUCCACGGUGGGGUGGCCGCACGGGCACGUCGGCGGCAGAGAGCGCGCUCCGCGCCCUGCGGUUCACGACGAGAGUGGCAGCGCGUUCUGGGGAGUGAAAGGCCACGCGGCGAGCUCCGGUGGCUUGGGCGGCGCUGGGUGGCGCCGUCUGCGCCGCGCCUCCCGCUGGCGGCCGCAAAGCCGCCGCUGGCGUCGGUCAUGGGGCGGCGCACCUUCUGCUGCUUGUCGCCGACGUCCGCAAGGUGCCAGAUGCUCGUGCGGUGCAGGAACAAGGGGGAGGGGACGGGGAGCAAGGCGACAUCGAGGCACUGUCGAGAUCGACAACAAGUUCUGAAGAAAACGACAGUGCACUGAAAUGUUCUCUGAACUUUACUGAACCUGAUUUUGACAAUGCACUGCAGGUGUUCGACAGAAUGAUUUGGCAAUGAGAAAACUUUUCCUGGGGCUGGGACUUGGUGAGGUGACCACUCAAUGCACCCAGAGGCUGCCUGAUUUUACUUGGAAUUUUUGGAGAAGGAUUUGAAUGUAUUUCACCAAAUUUGACUAAUCUGGUCCAAACUUGCAGCAAGUGUAGUUUGAAAAAUUUGAACUGAAGACCAGUGGAUCUUCAUGGAUCUUGGUUGAGGGUUCAAAGGACUAGGAAGGGGAACUGGUUUGGCGGCAAAAAUCAAAGCAGAAAGUGGAGUCCCUUUGUAAAUCACCAAUGGAUAGAAUAGAAGACAGAAAUUUGUUUGAAUAAGAUUUAAGUGGAAAAUAAUCAUAUGGGGAGGUUCAACUUGCUGGAUUUGAUGCAAAUCAUGGUCCAAAGGUGAGGGAAGGGUUAGGAGAGAGUAUUUGCACUAAGGCCAUGGCAAGAGGGAAUUUUUGAAAGUGGCAAAGGAUUAUUUCCAAAAGCCAUAGUGCAUUUUUCAAAGAGAUUUUCAAAAGGCAUUUUCCCAAGUGAAAAGUAUUUUGUCUUGAGUCCAAAUGAAAAGCAAGAACCUCCAAGACCAAAAACAGAUCCUGGGUGAAUCCAAAUAAAACUCUUGCCAAAAUUUAUUUGAAAGGGAGAGUUCUUUUGAAGAAAAAUUUAAAUCACCUCCCUCAAGUCAAAUAAAAUUUUGUGAAAAAAAAUCCAGGUAAAAAUUUGGGUGUCACAAACAUCCCGGAUGCCGACUGCAAGCGGCGCCCGCGCGAGAAAAGACAAGGAGCCGGCUGCUAGCCGCAGUCGGACUCGGGUCACCAUCGAGCGCGACGCAGAAGGCCGCCCCCGAGCUGUGGAACGACGAGGCAAUCCGCCUCCUCCCCCGCCUCGUGGGGAGAGAUAUCCCACCCCGCCGCCUGUUACGCAUCCGACUCUCGGCGACCGACUAGGCCACCGCGAAGGAGUCGGCGAGAAUGGCGCCCGCCACCGAAUCGACCACCUAGCACAAUCCCUGGCGCUAGAAGAAGAAGAUGAUGUCGGCCCGCCUUGCUUUGGCCCCCGCAUCCACGAUGAGCCCUUCCCCAAAGGGUUCUCACUCCCGAGAGACACGCCAAAAUACAACGGCUCCGUGAAGCUGGAAGACUGGUUGAUCGAUUACUCCACCGCAGUCCGCAUAGCAAACGGCAACAGGCGCGUUGCCGUGAAGUACGUCCCGCUCAUGCUUCAAGGCACGGCACACACCUGGUUGAAUAGCCUCAAGCCCUACAGCAUCAAGAGCUGGCUAGACUUCACGGAAGUCUUCAUCCGCAAUUUCACCAACACAUACAAGCGGCCUCCCAAGCCCCGCCAGCUUUUCUUGUGCGUCCAAGGGCCCAGCGAAUCAACUCGCGACUACCUCACGUGUUGGGCCGAGCUCCACAACUCCUGCGAAGGGGUGCACGAGGUUCAAGCCAUAGAGUACUUCACCGCCGGGUGCCGAGAGGGCACCCUCCUCAAGCACCGGCUCCUCUGCGACGAGCCGACUACCCUCGACGAGCUGUUGAUCAUAGCAGACAAGUACGCCACGGCCGACUCUUCAAUGAAGACUGAGCUUCGAGUGGAUGCCUCUGGAAAGGUGCUCGCUCCGGCUCCCAAGACGCCGGCCGGUGACUCCAAUCGACGCCCGUACCCAAACGACAACAAGCGCAAGGACCCUAUGCCGCCUUCCACCAGUCGGCAAGUAGCCACAGUCGAAGACGAACAACCUGAAGGGCGGCCCAUGCCCAAGAAGCAGAAGGGCGGCAGGCCGGCUUGGCAGCCGACUUUCUCCUACGAGCAAACCCUUGAUGCCCCCUGCAAGUUCCACAGCGGCGCGAAGCCGUCCAACCACACGACUCGGAAGUGUUAUUGGCUCACGCGAAUCUCCAAAGGCGAAGGGCUGGUGCCGCCUGCACCUGCUGGCCAGCGACCUCCAGCCCCUCAGUAGCCGGCUGCUCGACCAGCAGUCGGAGCCAUUCAAGACGAGUUCCCGGACGAGCAUGCCGGCUACGUCGUCUUUACAAGCCAAACUGAAGACAGACGCAGUCGGCGCCGACAACACCAAGAAGUCAAGGCGGUCGCCUCUAACAACCCAGAGUUUAUGCAUUGGUCUGAGAAGCCUAUCAGCUGGAGCCGGGCCGAUCACCCAGAGGUGAUGCCGUCUCCUGGCUCUUAUGCAUUGGUGUUGGACGCCACCCUCGCGACAAAAAGGCGAGCUGCCCGUUUCUCCCGAGUACUGAUUGACGGUGGGAGCAGCAUCAACAUACUGUACCGUGACACCAUGGAGAAGCUGAACAUCAAGCCGAAGCAACUCAUGCCAAGCCGGACUGUGUUCCAUGGCAUCGUACCCGGCCUGUCCUGCUCACCAAUCGGCAAGAUCAAGAUAGAUGUUCUCUUCGGAGGCAAGGAUCACUUCCGCCGAGAAGCAGUCUGGUUUGAAGUGGUGGAUCUAGAGAGCCCUUACCACGCGUUGCUUGGCCGACCUGCCCUGGCCAAGUUCAUGGCUGUGCCCCACUACGCCUACCUCAAGAUGAAGAUGCCUAGUUCAAAGGGGAUCAUCACCAUAGCCGAAGACUAGAAGAAAUCCUCUGAGUGUGCUGCAGCCAGCAGCCGGCUGGCCGAGUCCCUCGUGUUUGCCGAAAAAAAAGAGAGGUGGCCGGGUGCUAAGAAAAGAAAGUGGCCGGGUGGUGGCGUCCGGCUGCUCGCCUGCAGUCGGACAAGAAAAAAAAAGAGGUGGCCGGGUGCUAAGAAAAGAAAGUGGCCGGGUGGUGGCGUCCGGCUGCCCGCCUGCAGUCGGACAAGAAAAAAAGAAAGAAAAAUAAAAGGGCCGACUGCCCGCUGCCGAAAGAAAGCGAGCAGAGAGAAAAGAAAGAGAUGCGCGUCCGACUGCCCGCACCCGGCUGAAAAUUGCGUCUGACUGCCAGAUGUGCGUCUGACCACUUGCUGUGAAGAAGGUGCUGAUUGCCCAGCCGGAUGAAGAAGAAGUGUCCGCCCGGCUGUGUUGGCGAACAAAGAGAAGAAGAAAGAAGACAAAGUAGUCGCCGGGAGAUCCGGCCCGACUGCCCAGCAGUCAGCCUGAAUCUGGGGGGCUACACCCAGCGGGUGCGCUGAUGCGCCCCCGCGAAGAAGAAGACAAAGUAGUUGCCGGGAGAUCCGGCCCGACUGCUCAGCAGUCAGCCCGAAUCUCGGGGGCUACACCCAGCUGGUGCGCUCACGCGCCCUCGUGAAGAAGAAGACAAAGUAGUUGCCGGGAGAUCCGGCCCGACUGCUCAGCAGUCUGCCCGAAUCUCGGGGGCUACACCCAGCGGGUGCGCUGGCGCGCCCCGCGAAAAAUAAGACAAGGUAGUUGCCGGGAGAUCCGGCCCGAUUGCUCAGCAGUCGGCCCGAAUCUCGGGGCUACACCCAGCGGGUGCGCUGACGCGCCCCCGCGAAGAAGAAGACAAGGUAGUUGCCGGGAGAUCCGGCCCGACUGCUGAGCAGUCGGCCCGAAUCUCGGGGGCUACACCCAGCGGGUGCGCUGACGCGCCCCCGCGAAGAAGAAGACAAGGUAGUUGCCGGAAGAUCCGGCCCGACUGCUCAGCAGUUGGCCCGAAUCUCGGGGGCUACACCCAGUGGGUGCGCUGGCGCGCCCCCAUGAAAGAUUGCAAGAAACAAAAACAAGAGAUAAAAGAAGAGUUUUGUCCGGCUGCCAGCAGCCGACAGAAAAGAAAAAGAAAAGGGCGCUGCCAGGCGCCUCGCCGCCUGGCCGGCUGUGCCAAGCCGGCUCGGCCGUGUUCCGCUCGCCGCCUGGCCGGUCAAGCCCGACCGGCUGGACCCUCCUCGAGCGCCUGGAGGCUCGAUGGCUACACCCAGCGGUUGCGCCGGCGCGCUCCGCGAGCGCCGAGCCACGUCGGCUGUCUUCGACAACCUCUGCCGCGACUACACGAAAAUCAAUGUGAGCUCCUCACCCGCAUAUUUUUGCAUCACGCAAGCACAGAUAACCCCGAGCGAUGCUCGGAGGCUAUCUCCGCAUUUUUAUUGCAGUUGCACCACUGUUCGCCCCCGUGCUAGCCAGAGUUGGCCCGGGGGCUAGCCGCUUGGCCUGAGACGUAUUUUCCCACAGACGGCUUAGUAGCGUGUGCAGUACCAAAGGCCCACCUCUCAGCCACAGACCGCAGAGCGGUUGUCCGGCUAGUGAGAGCAAAAGCUGGAGGUCACCCCACGCGAAAAACAUCUGGAAAGAGAAACGCUUCGGGCGACCCGACCGUUUGCUUUAUGAGUAUCUGCUCGGGUAAAUCCGUCCCUAGAGUCUGAGUACUGUACACUCCACUUCGCGGCCCACUCUCAGCCACAGACCGCAGAGCGGCUGUCCGGCGAGCGAGUGCACAAGCCAAAAAGCGGAGGGAACACGAAAAGAUUGAAGGGGGCUCGGACGAAACCGAGUCGGCACCCUCCGCAUAAAACUUGCAAUACUAAAAUCACUCAUUUGAUAUAUCUAUGUGACCUAACUUGAUCUUUUGCAUGAUCAUUUCCGUGAACACCCACCAAAAAACCUCCGCCCAACUUUGCCAAGUUGCCUGGAGGCUUGGGGGCUACUGUCGGAGUAAAUGACCACGGGCCUAACCGACUCCCCUGGCUCUUCAAAAAUUAUCGGGCCGAUCGAGCCUUCAAGCACCCAAAGCACAGGGCCGCCUUCCCCUGGCCGGCUAUCUCACAGGCUGACUACUGGAAGGCGGCCCGACCCUGAAACCCUCCCGAAGAAAGCCACAAGAAGGCCGGCUCCAAGAAGCCGGCCACAAGAAGACCGACUCCACGAUGACGGCCACAAGAGGGCCGGCUCCCGGCAAGCGGCCAAGAUUGCACCCUCAAGGACUGCACCCACAUAACGGUGACGAGACGGGGCGUGGCUACAGUAAAGCCUGCCACCCCCGAAUCCCAGAGCACGCAUGGCCACAGUGCGCCGUACGGGUCGGCCAUCCCCCGUCCGGCGCGGCACUGUUGCCAUGUUGACCAUGACGCCACCCACGACAGGCUGUCAGUACGGCCCGCGGGCGGCGGGCCCCUUCACCCAGAGAGACGCUCGAAGGCGGCCAAGCCCCCCAGUCGGUCUGGGGUGUAGCCGGCUCCCAAUAGCCGGCUACCUCACUCCCUCGAAGUAUGUGCAUCAUUAAGGAGACAAGACGAGGUAAGAGUACAGUGAGAGCCCCCCAGACGGCGGCACUGUAGCCAUGCUUACCUCGGCAAAGCCCUCGUCAUCAGGGGCGAGGCUACAGUAACCAGCCACCGGCAAGACCCCCAGGCGGUGGGGCCGGCCUAUCGGCCAAGAGGCCGGCAGCCGGCGGGACCCACCAGUCGGCGGGCCCCAGCGGCUGGCGGAGAAGCCGGCGGAUACAGACACUGACGGCCUGGACCCGCAUCAAGCCGGAUUACCAUUGUACCCCUGGGUGGUAGGCCUAUAUAAACCCCCCAGGGCACCCAUGCAAAGGGUUGAUCUCUUAGAGUUUUAGACACCACAUAGAGAGAAGAGGAGAGCUAGCCUUGCCCUUCUUCUUCCUCUAGCCGAACAGCUCAAGGAGCCACUUGUAUCCACUUGUGUUGAUCUAGUGAUCAUGCGGAGACCCCACAGAGCAGGACAAGGGGUGUUAUCUCCACGGAGAGGCUCGAACCUGGGUAAGAUUCGCCGGCGUGCAUGUCUUCGCCUUAUCCCGUUUCCAGGCACCGGCGAUGUCUUACUGGCUCCCACAAUGAUAAGCCACCCGUUGGCAUAUGUCGCACCUACCACCCGACACUUAGAAGCAAUGAGUCUAAGUGCAGCAUCUGAGAACUUCGGCUUUGGAGCCCUAGCAAAUAGCCUUGCAGGAGAAGAAUGAUACUCAUAUGAAUAAGCAGAAAAGUUCUUAGUUUUAUGAACAUAGCGGUUUGAAGACACACGCUCAUAUUCAUAAGUCUGAGUAUGGUUUCCCUGCAAAACAUUGGCGUUAGGGUGACUCAGUUGAGUCCUGUAUCUGUAUGAAGCCUUUGGACCAUAUGAAGCCUUUGGUCUGGGAUUUAUCUUCUUCCCAGGUGGUGUCAUGAUAACAUUCACGGGAAGAUUCUCAAGACAACUUUUGGGAACCCAGAUCUUCUUCAUAGGUGGCCCAUUCCUGCAGUUAGUACCAAUAUAUUUGGCAAACACUUCACCAUUCUGAUUCUUAAACAGUUUAUAGUUCGCAUCAAAGGAUUCAUCAAUGGUAAUAGGGUUAGCACAGGUGAAGCCAGAUAAGGUGGAUGGAUCCAAUGAAGGUCCCUUUGCAGCAACCCAUGUGGUUUUGGGGUACUGCUCAGGCUUCCAGUAGGAGCCAUCAACAUUCAUUUUCCUCUCGAACCGAACACCCUCUUUCCUAGGGUUUCGGUUCAGAAUCUGCUUCUUGAGGACAUCGCACAGUGUCUGAUGCCCUUUGAGACUUUUGUACUUCCCUGUUUCAAGCAAUGUCUUCAACCUAACAUUUUCAUCAGCAAUAGUAGUGGUAUCCUCAGCAGAGGGGUUAGUUACCACAUCAGCAGUUGAAGAUAUUGCAACAGUAGCAGCAGUAGAACAUUCAGUGUAACAUCCCAAAUUUUCAAUUUGGAAUGUUAUAUAUUAGAUCAUCAUGCAUAUCAUAUUUUAUUGCAUUUUGAUUUGCGAUCCUAGAAAUUUCACGCAACUCAAGGACCCAUGGAGAGAGUUGGGGAUUUCGUUAUUUUCAUAUUUGGGUUUUCUCAAAUUUUGAAAAUAGGAUCAUUUGUUUUAAUUAUUUUUCUCUCCAAAAAUAAUUCAUAUCAAAAUAUAUGAGAGGGGAUAAAAUGACUUCUCCACAAAUAAUGAAAUAUUGGAGGAAAAAUAUUAAAAACAAAUAUUUGAUUUUAUUCGAAUUAGGAAAACUACGCAUUUUUCAAAAUUGCAUUUUAGGCCCAAAUAAAUGUUCAUCUUGUUCGGCUUAUUUUUAGAGGACGGGGAAAAUUUAUCUUGGAAUUUUUGGAGUCCGUUUAGUAUUUUUUUUCUUACUUUUUCUGCACGUUCGAAUUUUUUUUUUUUUUAAAAAGUCAACCGCCUUACGGGCCGUGNNNNNNNNNNNNNNNNNNNNNNNNNNNNNNNNNNNNNNNNNNNNNNNNNNNNNNNNNNNNNNNNNNNNNNNNNNNNNNNNNNNNNNNNNNNNNNNNNNNNNNNNNNNNNNNNNNNNNNNNNNNNNNNNNNNNNNNNNNNNNNNNNNNNNNNNNNNNNNNNNNNNNNNNNNNNNNNNNNNNNNNNNNNNNNNNNNNNNNNNNNNNNNNNNNNNNNNNNNNNNNNNNNNNNNNNNNNNNNNNNNNNNNNNNNNNNNNNNNNNNNNNNNNNNNNNNNNNNNNNNNNNNNNNNNNNNNNNNNNNNNNNNNNNNNNNNNNNNNNNNNNNNNNNNNNNNNNNNNNNNNNNNNNNNNNNNNNNNNNNNNNNNNNNNNNNNNNNNNNNNNNNNNNNNNNNNNNNNNNNNNNNNNNNNNNNNNNNNNNNNNNNNNNNNNNNNNNNNNNNNNNNNNNNNNNNNNNNNNNNNNNNNNNNNNNNNNNNNNNNNNNNNNNNNNNNNNNNNNNNNNNNNNNNNNNNNNNNNNNNNNNNNNNNNNNNNNNNNNNNNNNNNNNNNNNNNNNNNNNNNNNNNNNNNNNNNNNNNNNNNNNNNNNNNNNCCUCUCGCCCGACGCCGCCACCCGCCGGAGCCGCUUGCCGCCGCCGCCGUCACGCGAACCGAGGUAGCCGCCGGUUUUUCUCGAAAAACCAUUCGGUUUUAUUUCGAAACCGAGAUGCGUUUUUUAUAUUAGAUCGGUUUAUUUUUUUUCCGGUUUAGUUAAAUAGCGAAUGCCCGUUCGUUCAUUCGUUUUAACGAAUGGUUUUCAUUUUUUUACAGACAGUGAACGUUCGAUCGUUAGCCUGUUCGUCAGUUUUUCUUUUUUUCGGAUUUUCCGCGAUUAUUCCUGAUCGCGAUUUCCGAUCUGUUUUUCGUUUUAGUAUAACUUUUCACUCGUUUAUCGGAAUCAGGCGAUUCAAGCGCCUAGAGUUUCAUCUCGAAAUUCUCUUUUCGUUUAACCAACUCAAACAAGUUUUUGCUACUGUAAAAUUUGACUUAGAUCCAGAUUAGUAAACGAAGCUUGUUUCUUUCGCCCUUUGACCUUCGUUGCUUCGUUUCAAUUGAUUCUUUUUGCAAACCGGAGUUCUUAAGUUGAACUUUCUGGUUAGAUCUCUUAUUUGGAGUUUUAUUUCAUGCACCCUUUCUUGAUUGCUUAUGUACGUAUUGUUUGUUUGUGAUAGAGUACCCGGAGUGCGAAGCGUGCUACUACGAGUCUCUAGGUUUCACGGAUCAUCAGCAAGGCAAGUAACACUUUGAUCAUACUUUUCAUCACCUAGUUUUAUUGCAUUAGAUCAAUCCUCAAACAGUUGCAUGAUUAGGAUCUGAUUAAUAUGUGGGUUUUGGGAAGUAGAUGAGGUAGUACCUAUUGUCCUGUUUACUAUCAAACCUUUGGGAGUUACUUCUACGUUUGCUUAUAUUGCUAUGCUAUGCUCGUAGACGUGGAUUGGGUUUGAGUGAAUUCUUCAUGAAAGAUGUGAGAUUAUUAAUUUAUGGUUCAACUUAAGGUGGCUACUUUAAUUUACAUCUGGGUGGAUUGAGGCACCUGGAGAAACCAGUGUUGUCUGUAUUUUUGGAUAUCCCGGAGUACCCGUGUGAUCAUCCUAUGGACCGCCACCCAGACUCAAAGGGAUCAUGAGAUUAUUCAUGCUAGAAACUUCCGUGUGCAGCCACAAGCUAUUACGGGCUCUAGCAUAGUUGAGUAGGUUACAUGACCUCUUGAAGAGGUGGGCUAGCAGAUGUAGGGGAAAGUAGGUGUAACUGUCCACCCGGAGUAAAGAGUAGUGUUUCUGAAAGACUGUGUCUCGGUCAUCCGUAUCUCAAACACCAUGUAGUGCGAGAAAUCAAGCGGAGGCGAUCGAGUCUUGUGGGGAAAAGUGCACAAACCUCUGUAGAGUGUACAAACUAAUCAUGAUUAGCCGUGUCCCCGGUUAUGGACAUCUUGAGUAUCUAGUUCUUGGAUUAUCAUGUGAAUCUCAUCAUCAUUUUACUUAAUUUAAUUUGAUUGGGUUAAUCACGUUCUUAAUUGGGAUUGAGUUGGAGGUACCUUCUCAAUGUUUAACAACCACCAUGAUAGUUAAAUAAAAUUUAUUCCUUUGUGGUAGGGAAAAAUUGGCUUUUCGCAAAACUGUACUCAUAGAGCUUUCCACCAGCCAAAUAUGCAUGUAGUGAUAGCAUUAUUCUGUUCAUUACUCUCUAUGUGUUACUUUGCCAACAUAUUCCAUGUGCUGACCCGUUUUCGGGCUGCAACGUAUCAUGUUGCAGACUUUUCAGACGACGAGUAAGGAGCCUUAGGUCAUGGUCCUAUACUCAGUGAUGCCGUUGGAGUUGAUGGACUCACUUUAUCUUCCAAGCCUUCCGCUGUUAUCAUAUUUUAGAUGGCCUUAAGCCAUAUUUAUUGUAUUGAGUUCUCUUGAACUAUUCAGUGUAAUAAGUGUGUGAUUGCUACUCUGUUAUAAAUACUUCAAAGUACUGUGCGUGUCAGCAUUACCGAUCCAGGGCUGACACUGAUGCACAGAGACUAGACUGUUUGAGGUCUGGUCGCUACAGAGAUGGUAUCAGAGCACACGCUGACUGUAGGACACGACCACUAAGCGAAAGCCCUAGAUCACUACUCUCUUCUCAUUUCUGACUCUUCUCCUUUCUUCCACUCUUUUAGGAUGGCGGAUGCAAGGAACAAGUUCGCACAACCAGAUGAGGAUACACCUUUUGCAUGACACUUGAAGGAAGUUACUAAGUACCUGAACAUCGGAAUACCAAGCUUCACCGGAACCUACAACGCCACACUACCAGAAGAGGAGCGCUGGAUGAUUCAAGUUCAAGUUCCAGGAAGGACGUUCACGCCAAUCACUGAGCCCAUAGAGUUUUCCUUUGAUGCACCAACCUGGAGUCUAGGAAAGAGCAUGGCAGCCCACAUCACCAUGGGACGCAUUGGAGAAGUGUACCACAAUGAUCUCAAGGAUACUAUCUAUCGGAUUUGUGGGUGCCGAGACGAGCAAUGGGAGAUGAUCAGUACCAGGAAGGAUAGAUCUAUUGCAGCUUUCAUCCAGGAGUUAAACCAGCACAUUCGUCGCCAGGAGAACCAGAUGUGCGCAGACAUGAUAGAACUGAAGAAGGCCAAGACUAGGAUCAUGGAACUGGAGGAAGAACUCAAGGCUACACGCGAGGAUUAUAUGGAGGAAAUCGUCGCACUAGUGGAGAAGAAUGAUGACCUGACAAAGAAGCAAGGAGUUUUCAUGGGAGACCCAGCACCAGGAGGAGAUGAUGGCGAUUCUACUUGCCUGGAGAAUUACAUCAUCAUUGACGACACCGACUCGGACCCCAGUGAGGAUGAUUUGGAGGAUGAAGCCGGAGCAGAUAUCAUGGAGUCUUCGACUGAGAAAUUUUUCUAGAAGACCACCAAAUUAGUAGUAGUAUUCCACCAUGUAUAUAUUAUAGUCCAAGCACUUUGUAACGAUAGUUAGAUCGAUUGUAUGCCUUGUUUGAAUUGAUUGGAGUGAUAUGAUUGUGUUUGCCUCAUGUGCAUAUGGGUAGUGUUUUCCCUCUAGACCUCAUUCUAUUCUAUUUUCUCAUCUUUUCUAAACCAUCAGAUGCCUCCGAGACGCGACGCCGGAUUUGUUUUCCCACCGGAGAUCACUCAGUUGAUUCAGAAGCAGAAUGCCCUGAUGCAAGUGCUAGUUCAAAACCAAGGCAACAACAACAACAACAAC
rnacentral:lncRNA from 1 species